rnacentral:lncRNA from 1 species
AGACAUAAAGCUUGACCUAGAAUGUCGAAGUGAUCAUUAUUCAUCUCUUCUGAAUUAGUUUGUGACAAUAUCACCUAAAAAACAAUGAAACAUAUCACAUUUAUUUUCAUUUCAUGCACACAAAUAUAAUAUGAAAACAAAUUAUAACACAACAAAUUUCAAAUAUCAUCAAAUAUGAAAGGAUAAUUGAUUAUCAUCCCAGAUAAUCGAUUAUUCCCGGUAGAGAACUCAACCAAUGCACAAAUAAUCAAUUAUAACUAGUAAUAAUAAAUUAUUACCAAGACAAAACUCAACCAAUGUGCAAAUAAUCGAUUAUAACUAGUGAUAAUCGAUUAUUGCUGAAUCAAAACACAUCUUAGACAGAAUUCAAGUGUUCAAAACACACAUACAUCAACCCAAGAUCAUGAGGGAACAUACCCAAAAUAUCAUGCAUGCAUUCAAGCCUCACAUACACUUAUGAACAGACCCUAAUACAUACAUUGCAUCACUUGAAUCAUCCAAAACCCAUCAUUAUGCAUAUUACAUUCCAAACCAACAUACUGCAUAUGAUCAUCAUAUCACUCUUUGUAACAUAUAUUUGUAUAGUAAAAUCGCCCAACAACAUACCUUUGUCCUCCCUUAGCAUCAAUAUACAUUAUCAUGGGUUAACCUAACAAAAUCAUACAUACUUUCACAGGGAAAACCCAACACAAAUAUGAUAUAACCCUGUCACCAUGCAGAACAUAUUCUCAUACAUACGAACAAGGAGCAGUUCCUGGCAGGCUUCGAGUGGAAGGGGCACAUGGACGAAUCGAGCAUACACCGGAAUGAGAGGGAUCUAGAGAUUGUAUAGGUAUGGGACUAUACAGUUGAAGGAUAACUUAAAGGAAUUGAUUUGACUACUCAUAUCAACAAAUGCAUUUGCUUUUCGGUAGCCUAACUCAUAAGAACUCCAUGUUAAACGUGCUUAGCCUAGAGUAAUUAUGGGAUGGGUGACCUUCCGGGAAGUUUUCUCGGAAAGUGUGUUAGUGAGGACAAAGCACACUGGAAAGCCUCGUGUUGAUGUGUGGGGGCAGUCAAUAGUCCCUGUAAGUUGUCGGGGCGUUACAAAUGGUAUCAGAGCCUAGCCUCUCCCAGUACGGUGUGGUUCGAGGACGAACCAGACGGAAGCUGGUGGACAUGUGACACCCGGGCACUGACGAGGGCGGGGAGUGAUCGUCGGUGCAAGAAGCAUGGUGCAGGGGGCACGGACAAGGAGCGGCUCCUGGCAGGCUUCGAGUGGAAGGGGCACAUGGACGAAUCGAACAUACACCGGAAUGAGAGGGAUCUGGAGAUUGUAUAGGUAUGGGACUAUACAGUUGAAGGAUAACUUAAAGGAAUUGAUUUGACUACUUAUAUCAACAAAUGCAUUUGCUUUUCGGUAGCCUAACUCAGAAGAACUCCAUGGUUAAGCGUGCUUAGCCUAGAGUAAUUAUGGGUGUGAGUAAGGACAAAGCCUCGUGUUGAUGUGUGGGGGCAGUCAAUAGUCCCUGUAAGUUGCCGGGGCGUUACAAAAACAACAUUACCUUUCAAGAUAAUCAAAAGCAAACUCUAUUCACCAUACAAAUAUACAAGAAAAAAAAAACAAAGGUAAGUUUCCCAAUACCUUGAUCAAACUUAAGGCUUUAUCUACAACUCCAAAAACACCACCAAUCUUCUCUUGCACUAAGGUUUUCUGCAACUCUUCCUCUUCUCUCCCAAAAACGUCUCUCUCUCCCUAUCUCUCUCUUUCUUUCGUUUUCAGAUUUAGGGUAACAAUGUGCAACCCCUUUUUUCCUCUUCUCCUUUUUAUCUCUUUUCACUCAAUCUCUAUCUUUUUAGUUUUAAUAAAAUCUCUCACUUAAUCUCUAAAAGCCCACCAAGAUUUCCUCUCCUAUUUUAUCUCAACUACUUUUUAAAAUAUCAACAACUACCAAAUCUUCCAAAGUUUCACAUAAUCUUCUAUUUACAUGUUCAUAUUUUCUUUUAUUUGCAUACUUUUACUUUCUACACCCUCUUAAAAUAAUUUAUGCACCACUUAAUAAAGGUAAAAGGACCAUUUUGUCCCUAGGCCAAAAAUACAAUUAAAUUCUAAGUUUCUCUUAAACUCUUCCCCUAUGAAUUGAACCCAUAUCCAUUCAAUCUUAGACACCCAUCUCUACAACAAAAGAAACACAUCAUAUUAGUAAUAACACACAUAUAUCACAAUCCAACAAACAUACCAAAAUAUGUUUUACAUUUUAUUAAAUAACACCAAGGAAAUAACAUAACUAUGUUUUAACAAAGAUGUAAACACACAACACCUUAUUAGACAUAUCAGCUCUUAAAAAAAACAUACUCAAGUCUCAACAAAACUUCAUUCGUAAAACCCCUAUUUUUCCUAGGUGUUACACUCUUUGACGCACAAGUUAGUAAGAGAGUUUUAUGAUCUAUCAUGUUAGGAUACAAACAAAGUCUCGCAUCAGAUAAAACAAGUGAUGGACAUGUUUAUAUACAGAUAAGAUACCUUCAUUGGUAAUAGGCCUUUUGUGGUACCAAAGGCAAAUCCAUGAUGGCUUUCUCCAAAGCAUACAAUAUCUUACCAUUGUGGAGACAUGUGUGUGUAUUGAACCUCCUUAUAAUUGGUAUCAGAGUCGGUGGUGCAGGUCUAGUGACUAGGCUAAGAAUAAUACGUCCCUCCAUGAUAAGGUGAAGCUCUAGCAGGCGACCAAUGGUAGACAACCAGAUGAAUCAUGGGAGGCGACCAAUGUUAGGAUACAAACAAAAUCCCACAUCAGAUAAAACAAGAGAUGGACGUAAGUUUAUAUACACAUAAGAUACCUCCAUUGGUAAGAGGCCUUUUGGAAUGAUACCAAAAACAAAUCCAUGAGCGCUUGGCCCAAAGCAGACAAUAUACUACUAUUAUGGAGACCUAUGUGUCUGUUGAACCUCCUUGCACUAUCAGACUAUAAUAGUGAGUAUGAAUUAGAUUGUAUUCUUUAAGGAUACCACAUGUAUUUAUAGGGUUUCUAAGCCCAUAAAAUUUGUUAUAAAAUCGAGAAUAUUAGAGAGUAUUAACAGAUAAUAAAAUCUUUCCAUAUAUGUGAUAAAAUAACAAUAGUAUACUUGUUGGACCAUGUUCAUUAGUAUAUAUAUUUGUUAAGCCAGGUAUAUAUAAUUGGCAGUGGAACGUACCCGUUGCAAUUAUAAUUAACCAUUUGGUCAAGUUGAAAUCAGCUUUAUGCUAGUAGGUGGAUUAAGUAGUUGCAAUUAUAGGUUUUCAUAUGUCUUUAACUAUGAGGCUUCAACUUAUUGACGCAGGUGUUGUCUUAGGCUUGUAAGUGGUUGUUCAGAUCCCAAGUCCGAUGACAUAGCAUCACUAUGGUCAAUCAACGCAAUCGAGGUAUUGUUCGUUUUGAAACUUGGAACUCUAUCAUUGUUCUGUCCUUAAAAGGAGCUUCGAAAGGUUGAAAGAGGAAGGGGUAUGUUAGGAACAAGACAAUAAAAAAGGAAAGAGAGAAAUAAACACACAAGAAUUUAACGUGAUUUAGUGUACAAAUGCCCAUGUCCACAACUACACUAGGAAGUAUAUUUAUGUUUGGUAUAUCUUUCAAGCUUUACAGAGGGUUGCUUAUAUAGCUAAAUAGAGAACAUCUUAUAGUAUUAAGCAAUGUGGGAAUAAAUUAAGCGCCAUUAUACUAACAAUUCUCUCACUUGGAGCUUGAUUUACUUUAUCACCUAGUGUAGUUGCCUUCAUCAUCAAUUACUCUUGAAGGCUAGUUGAGGCAAUACAAAGCCUCAACUUAUUUGUUGUGAAAAUCUUGGUCAACAUAUCAGUUGGAUUCUAUGCACCUAGAAUCUUCGACAAAAGAAGUCUUCAUCAUUUAUCAUGUUUUUGAUAAAAUACUUCAAUUCAAUGUGCUUACAUCUAGAAUAAAGAACUAGAGUUUUAGCAAGAUAUACAACAUUUUGACUAUCAUUGAAUAAUGGAGGGCCAUCUUGCUCUUUUCCUAAUUCCUUUAGAAGGUUCUUCAACCAUAUCAUCUCCUUCGCUACUUCUUAGAUAACUACAUACUCAGCUUCAAUGGUUGAGAGGAAGACUCUUUCUUGAAGUUUAGACUUCCAAUUAAUAGUUCUACCACCCAAUGUAAAAUCAUAACCUGUUGUGCUCUUUCUACCAUCCAGAUCUCCUCCCAAGUCUGCAUCAAAGAACCCUUGUAAAGUGAGAUUGCUUCUUCUAAAAGACAAAUGCAUCUUUGAAGUGCCCCUUAAAUAUCUCAAUAUCCACUUCACACCUUCCCAAUGCUCCUUUUCUGGGAUUUGAUAGAAACCUACUCGCAACUCCCACUACAUGUGUUAUGUCAGGUCUGGUGCAAACCACAACAUACAUCAGGCUCCCUACUGCAGAUGCAUUCGACACUUUAGACAUGUAAGGUUAUUCUUCAUCUGUCUGAGAAGAUUUCCCUUUUGAAAACUUUAAGUGAGUUCUAAAUGUGUAUUCCUGGUUUUAGCAUUUCCAACAUUGAAUUUAUUAAGCAGUUUUUGUAUAUAUUUAUCCUGAGAUAAGUUCAAAAUACCUUCACAUCUAUCCUUGGAGAUUCUCAUACCAAUAACUUAUUUGGUUGGGCCAAGAUCCUUCAUUUCAAAAUUUUUUACAAUUGUUUCUUCAACUUGUUAAUUUCUGUCAUAUUAGCUCAUGCAAUCAACAUCUCAUCAACAUAUAAAGCAAGGAUGAUAUAACUAUUAACAUAUUUUUUGCACAUAACAACAAUGAUCUUCUUCACAUCUGUGAAAACUCGAGUUUCUCAUAAACUCAUUAAACUUCUUUUAUCGUUGUCUCAGUGCUUGUUUCAAUCCAUACUAGCUUUUAUGAAGCUUGCAUACAAGAUUCUUUUUGCCUUCUACUUAAAAACCUUCUGAUUGUGCCAUAAAGAUUUCCUCAUCGAGAUCCCCUUGUAGGAAUGCAAUUUUGGCAUCUAAUUGCUCUUUAUGAAGAUCUUUUGUAGCUACUAUACUUAAGGUAACUAUGAUGCUAGUCAUCUUGACAACCGAAGAGAAAAUUUCUAUGAAGUAAAUACCAUGUUUCUAUUGGAGCCCUUUCACUACAAGUCUAGCCUUAUAUCUUCUAUAACCAUUUGGUUCUUGUUUUAACCUAUAGACUCACCUGUUUUGCAAAACCUUUUUUCCUUCUGGUAGAUUGGUUAAAUACCAUUUUUUAUUCUUCUGAAGAGACUUUAUCUCACCUUUCAUUGCUAGCUCCCACUUAACAUAUUCAUUUCCCUCCAUAGCCUCAGCAAAAUGCUUUGGCUCACCGCCAUCAGUCAACAACAAGUAGUGUAAUGAAAGAGGAUACCUUUGUGGUGCUACAAUUGUUCUGCUAGAUCUUCUAAUCAUGACUUUAGGAGUUUAUGAUUCUAUUAUAUGUUUUGGUUAUGACUCAGGCUCUACCUCUAUAUUCUACCUUCUGUUCAUUACAUCACCCUCUGAAAUUUCUUCUAAUGAAAUGUGCUCUGGUUGUGUAUUUACCAAUGUCCUCUCUUUAUUGAAUGUGUUUUCAUUAAAAUUAACAUUUAUAAUUUUGAUAGUUUUCUUGUUUUGGUCAUCCCAAAACUUGUAGCCAUACAUGUUAGGUCCAUAGCCAAUGAAAUAACACCAUUUUUCCUUAAGGUCCAAUUUAUCCUUGCUAUUAGAGUCCAAUAGAAUAUAUGCACAACCAAAUACUUUCAAGUGUGAAAGACUUACCUUAUUUUCUGACCAUACCUUUUCAGGUAACUUAUAAGCUAAAGGAACGCAUGGUCCUCUAUUUAUAAGAUAUGUUGAUGUGUUUAUAGCAUUUGCCCAAAACACCUUGGGUAGUCUUGAUUGGAUUCUGAUACAUCUUUCUCCCUCAUUCAAGGUUCAGUUCAUUCUUUCUACCACACCAUUUUGUUCUAGUGUUCCUAGAAAUGUCUUUAUCAUUUUAAUCCCGUUAUCUUAACAAAAAUUCUUGAAUUCACUAUUGUCAUAUUCUCCACAAUUAUCAAACUACAAACAAUUAACCUUUAAACAUGUUUAAGUCUUAAACUCCUUUUCCCAUCUUUUAAACACAAAAAAGACAUCAAAUUUAUUCUUAAGAAAGUAGACCUAUUUCUUAUAGAAUCAUCAAUGAAGGUUACAUAAUAUUGGGAACCACCAAGGGAUUUCAGUAGAGUUGGCCCCCAAACAUCUGUAUUCACUAAUUCUAGUCUUUGAACUUUAGACGUCUUACCUGUUUUGGAGAAGCUAACUUUUUUUUGCUAUCCAAAGAUAUAAUCUUUACAAGGCCCAAAAUCAACAUGCCUCAAGUUAGGUAUUUUACCUUUUGAGAUCAUGAGUUUCAUUCCUUUCUCACUCUUAUGCCCAAGCCUUUGAUGCCACAAAGAGAAAUUGUUGCCAACUUUUGCACCUAAUAUCAUAUCCUUAUCUGCAAUCAUGUAAAAAGAUCAUUUCUUCUUCCAACGAGCACAACAAGAUUGUCUUUCAUUACCUUCCAAUGUUCAUCUCCAAAAGUUGUGUAAUGUCCCUCAUCAUCCAAUUGCCUUAUAGAUAUUAAGUUUCUCUUUAAGGUAGGAAUAUGUGUGACAUUAUUCAUAGUUCACAUACUUCCAUUAGAGGUUCUAAUGUUAAUAUCACCUAUUUCCACAAUAUCAAGAUAUUUUCCAUCUGUAAGGUAAGCCUUCACAAACUUUCCAGAAACAUAGUUAGAUAAUAAUUCUAAGGAAGGUGUAGUAUGAAAUGAUGCACCUGAGUCCAUAAUCCAUGAUUCAAUGGAACUAUCUAAACUACAUAAUAAGGCAUCUGCAAUUUCAUCUGUUGUUGCAUUUGUUGAUUGAUCAUCAUCUUGCUUCCUUUUGUUGAUGUUCUUCCUUUAAGCUCAACAUUGAUUUAUAAAGUGUCCUUAUUUUCUAACAAUGCCAACAAGUGAUAUCAUUUUGUACUUCUGUUUGUGGUCUCCCUCUAAACUUUGAUCUUCCUUGGCCUUGAUUACGUCCUUUUUGGCUAUUUCUUCCUUUAUUUUUACCACUCAAAGCUGAACUAGAGUUAGAACUGAAAGAUUCAACUAAACUUCUCCGACGAACAUCUUCACUUAAGAUCAAGCCACAGAUGUUAUCAAACUCCAACUUGUUGUUGCUUGAAGAAUUACUAACUACACUAACAGUUGCAUCCCAACUUUCUGGAAGAGACGAUAAUAAGAUUAAUGCUUUCACCUCAUCAUCAAAAGUUAUUUUUACUAGUGUUAACUAUACAAUAAUUGUAUUAAAUUCGCUAAUAUGAUGAGUAACCGAGUUACCUUCAGCCAUUUUGAGGUUGACUAGCCUGCAAAUCAAAUACACUUUGUUGGUUACGAAUGGCUUCUCAUACAUAUUUGACAACGCUUGCAUCAAAUCUACGGUUGUUUUCUCGUUCAUGAUGUUGAACGCAACAUUCUCCGCUAAUGUCAACCGAAUCCCACCAAGUGUUUGUCGAUCUAAAAACUCCCAAUCUGACUGCUCCAUUUAUUUGGCUUCUUCCUUCUUAAGGAUAGAUAAAAAUGCUUUUGAUGCAAGUAGUCGUCUAUAUGCAUCUUCCAGAACCCGAAGUCACUGUCAUCGAAUUUCUCAAUCUUCACCUUCCUUUCUUCCAUUUCCAUUGCUCCACUACUUUUAAAGAAAGCUCUUAAAACUUCUCUAAACCGAUAUUCCCAAGAAAAAUGAAAAAAACAAACCCUUUCUGAUGUGGAAGAUCUGACAAAGUUGCAACCACAGAGCAUACUAAGAAAUUGACUUUUGAUACUAGUUGUUAGGAACAAAACAAUAAAAGAGGAAAGAGAGAAAUAAAUAAUAAAAGAGUUUAACAUGGUCCAACGUACAAAUGCCUACGUCUAGGAAUACACUAGGAAGUACAUUAAUUGAUGAUUGUUCUAUCUUUCAAGUUUUAUAGAGGAUUGCUUAUAUAGCUAAAUAGAGAACAACAUCUCACAAUAUUAAGCAAUAUGAAACUAAAUUAAGCUCCAUAAUACUAACAAGGUAUUUAAUCUUCCCUUUGGCCUUGACUCUUAAGUGAUGUGGGAUUAUUAGGUGUAAUGGAACAUAAACCUCCUAGUCGAUGUCUAGGGCGAGGGCUAAGGGAUUGUUUUCGUUACCCAUAGACAAAGUCAAUAUUCUAAUCCCAAGUCUUUCAAGUGUCAUCGUUAAGGUCAAUCAUCACAUUUAAGGUAUUGUAUGAUUUAGAAUUGAAACCCCCAUCACGAUUUUGUCCUUAAAAAACGUCACAAAGAGUUGAAAGAAGGAGUAUUAAAAUUGUUCUUGGUCUCAACUCUAAACAAUGUAGGAAUAUUGAAAUGUAUUGAAACAAGUUCCUUAGUCGAGGGCUAUCAAGGUUUUCAUCUCCACAUACAAUGUCAAUUUUUCAAUUUCAUGUUUGAUGAGAUAACAUCACUAGAAUCAAUCAGUGCAUAUAAUAUGUUGUUUGCUUUGGAGUCUAAAACUCUCUUAAGUGUCUCGAAAAGUUUAAAAAAUUAUAUUUAAAUUUUCCUUUUAAGUAAAAUCCUGAGAUUAUAUAUAUAUAUAUAUAUAUAUAUAUAUAUAUAUAUAUAUUAUUUUAGUGAUUCAUUUCUCUUUAUAAAUAUCCAUAUAAUAUAUAUUUUUAUGCUAAAAUCUUAAUCAUAUAAUAUUUUUGGUUAUGAUUAUUUAGUUAUAAUGAAACUUUGAUAUAAAUAAUAAUAAUGAUAUAAAAUUAUAUUUCAACAAUUGGAUAGGUUAAAUUUAUUGUUUAUAUAAAAUCAUUGAAAAUCAUACCACAUAACUUGAUGAUUUUUAAUAUUUUAUAAAUUAAAAGAAAUUUAAAAAUGCUCAUAACAUAAAUAAUUCAACACAAUCAGUAGCCAUUCGGUCACAAUCAAUCAUUUCAAUGCCUGAAUUAUUUUUUUAAGGCUUCGUUGAUAAUUCACUUUUAGAAUGCAUUAUUCAUCAUAUUUGAAUUUAUAUGAAUCUAAUUGAAUAAAUAAGAAAGCACGUCAUUAAUGUAUUAAAUCACGAAAAUUUUACUUUAUAAUAAAAUGCAUGUAUUUCAUAAAAGUAACAAUGUAGUAUUAUUUUCGAAACGCAAUAGCACAAUUUGAAAAAGGAACAAUUCAGAUAUGAACAUUUUUGACAUAUUUAAACCACACAUGCAUACAAUGAUACAAACCGUGAAUAAAAUAAUAAAGAAUGCAUGCAUUGUUAGGCGUGCGUGUAGCAUAUAUUUUUGUGUGAAAAGACUGAAAGGAUGGAAGGCACCUCGUGAUAUUUUCCUGUCACUUUUCAGACUUUAUUCUUUACUGUGUCUGUAUUAAAUCAAUGUUUUCUAGUUGCUAAACAUAAAAUUACAUAUAUAAGUAUAAUUAUCAAAUAUAUGUUUUUAAAUAAAAAUACAUCAUCAUAUAAUAUAGUUUUAAAGUUUUCUUUUUCAACUUAAAUUUUAGAUUUUAUGUCGUUAUAUACUUUAAUAAGUAAGUUUUAUUACAUACGGUUUUUAUUUAUUUUUCAUAAAUUUAUAAUUUAUAUUUUAAAUUAAAUUAUUUUUAUAUUUAAUUUUUUAAUAAUUUUAUUGCUUUUUAUUUUCACAUAAAAUGUGACAUAUAUUUGUUAGUUCAAAUUAUAAUGAUGAUUCUUUUAGUUUAAAAUUCAUAAAAAACUAAAAGUUAUUUUAAUAAAUACUAAAAGUAGUGUAAUAAUUAAUUAUUUCUUAAAAUUAAAAUUUAUAAUAAUUAAUAAAACGAAACUAAUAUUAUUAAGAAAAUGUGUUGAAAAAAUAAUAAAUAAUAAUGUAAUAAAAUGAGAUACAUUAUGAGCUAAAAAUUACAAACUAAAAUAAGUCAUAAAAUAUAUAAAUUCAUAAUAUAACGUAAACACUAUAGGUUAAUCAAACUAACUUAAGUUGAUAAUUAAUUUAUUCACCUUAUUAUACAUAUAACAAAUGAAAGCCGUUAAUAUAUACUUACAUAUAUUUGAAUUUGAUUAUUGAGUUGUGUUUUUUUUAUCAAUGUUUUAAUUAUUCAAUUUUUUUUAAUAAAUAUUUUUUUGAAAUGUUUGUAAUGCAAGUUUAUUAUAGAUUUAGUGUGGUUUUCUUUUAUUUUUUUAAUAAAAUUUUUAUAUAAUAAUAAUUAUUUCUAAUAUAAGUCUAUUUAGAAUAAUAUUUUAACAAAAAUACAGACGAUUAAAAAUAAAAAGAAAAAUGUUUAAGUAUUAAAUUGAAGUUUUAAAAUAAAAAAUAACUUUCAGAAAAAUUGUAAAACUACAUUUUAAAAAAAAAUAUUCUAUUUUUAUUUUUCUAGUAUUUUAAUUUAAGUAUGAUUGUUUUUUAGUUAAAGUAAUUAAUUUUAAUUUUUUAGUAUUCAAUAUAUGAUUUCUUAGACCUUUAAAAAUAGUGAACAAAUCAUCAAUCACCAAACUUCUACUACUUUAUUAAAAGAAUGUGGCUCUUUGUAUCUUAUUCUUAAGACUAAACAAAAAUAAAUGUAGUAAUACAUUUAAAGAUAAGUUAAACCAGUAUUACAUAAUAUUUCCUUUAAAUUAUUUUGAAUAUUUUCUCUCUUUAUAUAAAACUUUCAAAAAAGAAAAGAAUGUAAACAAUAAGUAAACAUUUAUAAUAAUUUUUAUCUUCUCAUUUUAUCUUAAUCAAGAUUUUUUAAUUCAUUCAUUUAAUAAAUAUCAUAAUUAAGUGUAGCUAUUAGCUUAUUCAAUACAUCUCAUUAUAUUUUAUGUCAAAAUAUUACAUCACCAAAAUAAGAACACUUAAUUAUAAUUUGAAAAGACGUAUGAGUUGAAUUGAAAUCAAAGAUUUGCAUUUAUUGUAUUAUUUUUACUAAAUUAUCACUAUAAUAAAACUAUGUAUUAGGAGUAUAUUUUCACUAGUGACAGUGUAAAUUCUUAGAAUCUAUUAAAUACAUACUUUCACACAAAAAGUUAAGUUAUAAAAAUCUCCUUGGUUUCUCACUAUCUAAUUUUUUGUUUAGUGUAAUUCCAAUAUCAUUAUUUUUAGGAUAUCUCAUGAAUCCCUAAUUCGAUACAUAAUCUAAAUAUCUCGUCAUAGUAUUCUCUCUCCUUGAAAAUAAUUAUAUUUAGAAUUCAUCAAAGGAAACUUAUCACAUAAAUAAAUAAAACCAAUAUUUCAUUACAUGAAUAACUAACAUUCAUAUUUAAAUUAAAUAAAGCAACAAACAAAUAAAAUAAAAAUCAAGAAAUAAACAAAAAAAAAAGAAAUAAAGAAAAAGUUUAUUGUUUUUUAGCUGGAGAAAAAUAUUCACUUGAGGGAAAAUUUUCUCAACUGAACGCAAAAUUCAUGGCUUGAGUGAAAAUCUAGUAGAGAGAAAAUUGAGUUGUAGUACUAGUUUUUAUUGAGUGAAAAAUCAUUUGCUUGAACAAAAUUAGGGACAAAACAAGAGUUUUAUGGUAAUAUUAUUAUUGCUUGAGCACAAAUAAGGUAAAGAGUAGGCUUGGAUUGUUGUUCUGUUUUUACCUGAGCAAAAAUUCUUCAAGAAAAAAUAUCAAAAAUUAGUUCUAUACAAAAAACUUUCAACAUUUAAAUAUAAAUGUAAAUUAUUUUCUAAUGUUACUAUACAUUUACACUUUUAAAAAUUUUGUACAUUCAUUUUAGCAUCCCAAAAUGUUUUCUAAAGACAUGUUAAUAAUCAUCAUUUUCAUUGUGUAUGGGUAUACCCAUUAGAUUUAAUUACCCUUCAUCCAAGGUAUUGUUUGCUUUUUAGCCUGUCACAGUUUUGUUCUUAAAUAUUACCUUAAAAGGUGGAAGAAGUAUUUAAAUUGUCUUAAACCUCGACUCUUAAACUAUGUGAGACUAUUGAGUGUGGUAAGAAUACAAGGCUCCUCCGCAGAGGGUUCCACUAUAAUCUUAACACGAUUACAAAUGAGUAUUAGCACCACUCUUGGUACUCAGUAACCCCACCGAGAUUUCCUUUGAGUAUUCACAUCACUUCUAAUACUCAGCUACCUCGCCGAGAUUACCUUUGAGUAUUUGAACCACUCUUGGUACUUAGCGACCUUGUCAAGAUUCCUCAACUCAACAAAGUUUAGUUGUAAGUGUUUUUGAUUCUCUUUAGAACUGCAAUCAAUGAUUGCUUACAAGUAGUUUAGACUAUAUAUCUCGUAGAGAGGAUUUGGUUACAAUUGAUAACGAUUGAAAUUACUGGUAUCUGUGAUUCAAUUUUGAUACUAAAUGCACCCUUUUUUACUUAGAAAUUUUCUUUAACUCAUGUUUUUUCUUUAGUUUUUUGAAUAAGAUAAUUGAGGUUAUGCUUAAUGAUUUUAUCUCUAAAUUCCCUUUAUUUUGUAGCUAAUAAUGUGUUUGGAAGAAUCUCCAACAAUGGCUAGAGCUUAACCAACCAUAAGGAGCGAGCACAAUUGUAGAAAAAGAGAAAAAAAAAACGCAGUGCAGAAAAAUCCGCCCAAGCUGAGUGCCCCUUUUAGGGGCCUUGAGCGCCAGCCAAUCAAUGUUGAGCGCCCCUUUAGGGGUCCUGAGCGCCAAAAGUUGCACCGCAUCACGCGUGGGCCCUCUUCCUCGGAUGCUGAGCGCCAGUCUCCUGUGCCGCAAAGCGUGUGCUUGCCUUUUUUGGGGCCCUCAGCACCAUCUUCUCGCACCACCGCCCGGCUACCCUAAGUUGGGGGGCUGAACACCAACAGUAUUGGGCUUGGACUUUAUUUUUGCUCUAUUUAAGGACUUGCUCGCCCUAGGGUUGGUAUCUCUUGAUGACAUAAGCACAGAAACACACGUUUUGCCCCUUUGGAGGCAAAUUUGGGGAUGUGAGAGAUCUUCUCUUCUCUUUCUAGGGUUUUUAUCUUCAUUCUUCUAUUGUACACCUAGUUUCUUCAUGAUGAUGUAGAACUAAUCUUAUUUGUUGUUGGGGAAGAUGUAACCUCUAAACUCUCAUGUAUUUGAAUUUCUUUUGAAUUAUUAUAUGCUUCUUACAUUAAUUGUUAGGGAUUUUCUCCUUUGCUAAAUUUUUAUAUUUUAUGGUCUUCUUUGUUAUUGGGAAAUACCUAGAAACCAGGAUGUGGAGAAUUUCUCCAAAAAGUAGUAUUGCUCGGGGAUGGGGAUAUGAGUUUUAGUUGUCUUAAGCUUGUAUUCGUAAUGCAGAAUUAAUUGUUAGGGAUGUAAGGGAUUGUGGUCUAGUAAUUAAGGGUAGGCUUUCUUCGCCGAGGCAUUGGGUUUUAAGUAAUUUAGAGAGUGACAUUUACAAUUUAAUGAAGAAGAUGAAUUCUUAUAUGCAUCAGAGUGAUUAGGUGAAAUCUAAAACCCAACAACAUACUCAUCUCAUAUUAUCAAUUUCAUCCAUUCAUUCUAGUGUUUAGCCUCAAUUGAUCAAAUUGCAUUCAUAUUUACUUUUUUUGUAAUCGCAUUAAAAACCCAAAAAUUGUUAAUCAAAGUCUUAAUUAGUUAAGUAAUCACAUGAUUGGUUAGGCCAUGAGUCUCUUGGGAAACGAUACUUGACCUUACCAAUAUUAUUACUUGAUAUGAUUUGGUACACUUACCGACAUCUUAACAACAAUACAAAGCAAUCUAAACACUCGUAGGUAUUUCUCUCUUCCUUCUUACAAUAGUAAGCAAUAUGACAAUUUUGCUUAAGAGUAUCUCUUUCUCUUUUUCUCUUAUCUUCUUUUUUCUUCAGCUCAGAUGUAUUCUUUUUCUUGAGUUCUUUCUCUUCUUCUUUUCAGGAUGAAUAUAUCGUUGUAAGCUUUGCUUUUCUUAAGCUAUCUUCUUGAUUUUCUUCUUGAGAGAUCUUCUAUUUAUAGGCUUCAUGGAUAUUUGUAUGUUAGACUGAGCUUGUAGCCUUGAUACUCGUGCUUUCUCCUUCUUCUUUGCACAAUAGUUGUUGGAUAAGUCAACUUGUUAGAGCAGACAUACUUUUUCAGUCCUUUGUUUGAAGUAGGUUGUACGAUCUUUUUAAACUUUGCUUCAAGUAAGGAACAUUCUGUGAAUAUCUCCUUUAUAUCUAACAUCCAUUUUUUGAUAUUUGAUGCAUAACACUGUAGAUGCGUGUAGAAUAGAUUAUAUGCAAGAUUAGAGUAAAUUGGACAUGCAACAUAUAUGUCUUUUCUUAUCACUUUUGUUGUUCUUGAAUAUUGAGCAUUUAAUGUCAUUUAAUGUUUGCUCAGAACAACAAAGUGCUUUUUGAUUUUCUACCGUUAGGUAGUAUUUUACAAUUAAGUUCUUUUCUCUAAGGAUAUCAAGUGUAUAUAUACACUUCAUCAUAAGAUGAGGUACUUGUUAAGCUCAUGGCAUCGUUUAGUCAAGUAAGCGCUUUUGUAGCUUUUGUCUCUUUUUAGAUAGAUAGCGUUUAGCUUGCUUAAGCUUUCUUUCAUAUUUUAAUAAUUAUGUCUUUUAAUAUGUUUUGUCAAAGACAUUGUCUCAACCUUUUUUGUUUUCAAGAGAAGCUGAAUACCUAUUCCAAGUAUUAUAAGUACUAAGUGUUUAACUCAAUUUCUCUUAGACGCUUUAGGCACCAUAGCAUUUAGCAAUGUGUCUGGAUGUUUUAACCUAGAUGUUUUUCUAUUUCUUAAGACCUAAGUGUUUACCUAAUUUUUUCUAUGUGUCGGGAUUCUGGUUCUAGGUUGUGUAUGUUUGGGGUUCAGGCUCUAAGUCUUGUGUUUUCACCCCAAGUUAUUUUCUGAUUGUUAUCCUAUUUCAAUUUUAUAUGAUUAAGCUUCAAAACAUGAGAGCUUUUGGGCGCAUAGACAAUUUUGUCUUUAACAACACCUUGAACACCUUCAAAUUUGAAUAUAAAGACUGUUUUGCAUUCAAUUGCAUUACUUCUUUGAGAUAAAAUUUUGUCUCUUGGUCUAAAUUUGGAUCUUCUCUUGCGAAGAACAGGUGACGAUCCUUCUUGACAUUUAUCUUGGGUCCUUUCAAGUGGCAUGUCUACUAAUUCAUAAGUUUUCUCUAAUUUCUAUCUUACAUUUUUAGUCUUUUUAAUUCCAUUUCUUAAUUGUUUUUAGUUUAGUUCUUUGGUUAUUUCUAUCUGGGCAUGUUGUUCCAUAUCAGCAAGGCCUUUCAAAAAAUAGACAUAUCUGAAGAUUUGAUCAUUCCUUAUAACGAGCAUAUUUUUGGAUUUGUCAAAGAAUGAGUCAAGACCCGACAAGGCUUCUUGGAUUUGAGAACAAGAAUUGACUUAGGAAGUGAUAUGUGAGAGGUAUGAUUGUGGUAUCUGUUGGUGGAAGCUAAUACUGUUAGAAUUGCUGCAACGAAAUUAUUAGCGUGGGAUAACAAACCAAGAGGGGGGGUGAAUUGGUUAUAUGCCUUUUUCGUGCCUUUUAAUAUUUUUCUCAAAUUCACUUACAAAGCAGAUAAUUAAACUGAAUUAAAUAGAGUAAGGAAGAGAAAAAUUGCACAAGUGAUUUUAUCCUGGUUCAGGUCACAAAGAUCCUACGUCCAGUCGCUUAUCUCAAAACCAAGAUAAACCUUUUUCCACUAAACACAAAACAAUUACAAUUAAUAAUCACGCAGAAAAUUAACUUGUAAAAGUUUAGAAUACCACCUCUCUUGAAACCACAAGAGAUGAACUUACACCUCCUUUGAGUCUUCACAAAGGAUGACCACCUCCUUCGAAUACUUCACGAAGGAUGAUUCUCUUCCAAGCACUUCCUCAGACGCACCAAGGAUGAGCAAGCUAUUCCUCUGUCACCGUAGUAGCACUUCUCAGCUUUGCAGACAAGAGUUUCUUUAGCUUCAGUACAAACACUAUGUUCUCAAUGAUAUCAGAUGUUUCAAGCACAAGGGAAGAGUUGUUUUCGAAAGAAACAGUGAGCCAAUUUAUAGACUCAGACCAAUACUCUUCCAUUUUACGAAAACUGGCCAUUUAACGCAUUUAAUCGAUUAAUAUUAGUAUUAAUCGAUUAAAAUGAGUACAACAGCUAGUUUUUCAAACCUGAAACCUCCAACGGCUAGUGUUAAUCGAUUAAUCCAGAUUUUAAUCGAUUAAUUAAUCGAUUAAAGCUAGUGUUAAUUGAUUAUUCCAGAGCCAUUUGGGUUUUCAGUGCUAGCCUCGUUUUAAUCGAUUAAAACUAGGUUUAAUCGAUUAAAACCGCUUGUGUUUGAUUCUAAACAGCAAUUUAUCAUAUAGAGAGUACAAGAAUCAAACCCUAUUACAUAUUUGAGCACUAAUACAUCAACUAUGAUUAUUACAAAAGCUUUCAAUAAUAAGAGAUCUUCAAUUUGUCUUCUUGGAUCAUGUGUUGUGCAAUUAUGUACAUCAUCAAAACUCUGUCUUUAAUUUUUUGCUAACAAAUACUUCCUAUAAUGUGUUGUUAGGUCGACUGUGUUUGAACUUUUUUAGAGCCAUAAUGUCCAUGUUGCACUUGGGCGUGAAUUUUCAAUCCGAGUUGGGUUGAAUCUGUAUGGUGCAUGCAAAUCAAAAGAUAGUCCAGAAGUGUCUUGCCACUAGAUUAUAGGUGACACCUUACCAACCCCCUCGAAAGGUCUGUCGAUAAGAAGUGGCAAUGUCAAACCUAUAUCCCACAACAAACGUCAUUAACAGGAUGGAGCCAUUAUGACACCCCUUUAGAAUGCUACUAAGAACUUAGAAAAUUUUUACGCAUAUUAUAAACGUAUUUCUUUUUCAUCAUAAAAUAAAAUUAAAACAUUUAUUUAUUUCAUCAAAUAAUCUUCUAGGAAAUAACAUUUAUUUCAAGUAAUAAGAAAACAUUUAAAAAACUUCAAUAAUUAAAAUAUAUCCAAAAUACAUCCAAAAUAAAAGAAAAUGCAUUCCAAAAGCAAUCUCUAAGCCCCUCAUUGUUGUGCAUCCAAACCACCAUCUACAACAUUAUUUGUUCAUGUAUAACACAAGUCAUACGAUCAUCACAGGUGGAAACCAUAACCAUGAAUAUGUAAGAGUGAGUUAACUUAAAAGAAAACAUAUUAAUUAAACUUACAAAUAUAUAAUAAUAACAUGUCAUAAAAGCCCUCAUUUAAUAUUUUUAUAUUUCACACAUUAACAAAUAAUCAAAUAUAAAUUACUAUUGUAUAAUCCAACUACAAUGAAUCCAUGUAUAGACUCAACCCAAGAGGUUCAAUCAUCAACAUAACCCUCACACGUAGCUUACCAUCCAAAACCAGUUCCCUUUUUAGCUAAAACCACUUUUCCUUCCUAUUCAUCACGAGUCUCUGGACAGAGCCUACUUCCCAUGCUCCUCCUUGAGCCUUCAUGGGCAAAGUACAUAGGUUUCACUUCCCACCACUCUCUUAGAGAACUUUUGCGACGAAGUUCACCUCUAAUACAACUACAUUGAGUUCAUUACUUCUUGUUUCUCUCCUAGAGACCAAUUGCGAUCCUCAGGGUCAACUCCUAGAGCCUCCUAAGGUUAGGUCUUAGAGCCCCCUCGCCUAUUAUUAAUGCAUACGCUUCUCAUCUACACCAUCACAUCACAUAUGUUGGCAUCACUUUACAAUAACACCUAUUCUAUUUCAUAUUAUCAAACAACCACAUAACUUAAACUCAUAUUACUACUACAUGCAAUAUAUAAUUAAUACGAUGUCCAACACUUCUUACUUAGCAUACAACUGUAUUAACAACAUUAUUAUGCAAAUAUAAUUUGAAUAAUCAUGUAUAACAUAUAUAUUUAACAUAGGCAUACAAAUAUUAUGUGUCCUUCAAAACUUUAUUUAUCAUAAACCAUUUAUUCUCACACAACAAUUAAUCACCAAAUUCAUCACUUAUGUCACCAUUCAAAUUUCCAAAGGUUCACUUAAAUCAACCGAAAAUCAUUAGUAUAACAUAUGUCUAAUGUACGCAUAUCCUCAAACCACCUUUUUUUUAAUCCAUUUUCUUUCUAAAAUAUUCCUUAAUAUUUCGAAACUAAUUAUAUUAAAAUUACUAAACCAAAUAAAAACUAAUUCACUAUGAGUAUCACUCAAAAAUUUAAUUACGUAAUUACGGAACAAAGUUUAGUAAUCAAAACCUGCAAAGUAUUACCAUCAUCAAAUCUUAAUUGCAAGCUAUAUGUUUUCUACACAAAACAAAAUAAUAAAAUGAAUCAUGUUACAAUUAAAAUACACAACCACAAUUAUUUUGAAAAUUAAAACCUACAAAAUAUUAGAUCUUUUAAUUCUUUAUAGGAGCAAAACAAAGUAACUAGUUAAACAAAACCAAAGUUAUAUAUAUAUAUAUAUAUAUAUAUAUAUAUAUAUAUAUAUAUAUAUAUAUAUAUAUAUAUCCUUAUUCGAAGGCCCUUCACCCUAUACGGCCUCAGAACUUCUUAUGUUGAUGUGAUGUUUAUCAAACAAUUUUUUAUAGAAAUUGAUGUUGUGUGGUUUGGUGCGGGCCAUUAUAGAUGUAACACAAAACAAAAUUUACUAAGUUAAAAAUCGAUCGAAAAUAAACCAAACAAGGAAAGACAAUUUAUCAUAAACAUCCCAAUUGAGGUUACAAGGAGCGGAAACAUUUUAAAAGCUCUCUAGUCAGGAGCUUGGUAGACAAUUACUCCAAAUUUGAAAGCAAAGCACUCUAUAGGGGUUCCAGGUCCAAUCAAAGGGAACUUAGGUUGACCGUUCCCAUCGGAAAACAGCUUGUAGCCCUUGAAGGGAAUGACGAUCUUGAAGAACCCUUCCUUGCAAUCCUUGUAGGAAGUAUCGAAGAGCUAGAAGAUAUUUUGUUCAGUUUCGUUUAUUAAAGACACCCAUCCUUUGCAAAUGAUCAAAUAGGUACGAUAAUGAUGAAGAAAUAAGGUUAGGGUAGGAGUGAGACCUAAAGCCUUGCAAAGAUGUACGAAAUCAUCCUCAACAUCGUCCCUUAGAGUAAAGGUCCGACCAACGAGGUCCACUAAAUCAUUUCACCACGUGAAGUGAGUAAUGUAUUCACAAACCUUGUGUACGACCCAAUCAUACCCAAGGACGUUCAAAAGGUUUUGCUCAUCCCCUUUAAUAGUGUUGUUGACACAAAUUCCCUAAUUGUAUGGCCGCUGUUUUUCCCUACAGACCUCGUCCUGACCUUGGUCCCCAAUCGAACCUUUAUUAGUAGCUUGACCUUGGUCCCCAAUUCCUGGAUGAUGACCCGAGCUAUAACAAUGAUGCAAAGGCGUCAUGACCCUCUAGACCAUAGGAUCCUUCCAAAUAGGUCUCAAUGGCAGGCAUUAUUACCUUAAGAAUGAAAAUAAUAUGAAAACUAAGUAGCACAAAGAUAAGUUCAUGAGCAAAAGUAAUGAAAAUCACAAGGCCACCUGGUCCCUAUUUAUAGGAAACUUUGGGAACACCUGGCGUUGUCACAACUGUAAAAUCUUGCACCAUCCAAUGAAAAGGGGCAUGUGACGUUUCACAUCCAUUGUUAGAUUUAACAACAUAGUUCACAAGGGAACAUACCCAUUCGUUGCCAACGAUCAUAUAUUCAAGGACGAGUCGAAUGGAUGUCGUAGUUUGCGAAGCAUAGGCACAAUUCAUGGGGUGACAUAACCAUUUGUCACCAACGGUCAUAUUCUCAAGGUUAAAUUGAGCAGUAGUAAACUCUUUUUGCUUAUGGUCUUGACUCAAACUUAAGGCUUCGGGAGUCUAUGUGAUAUAUGUAACAUUAGUGCAUAUUGAUCAAAAUAACAUGAUCGAUUGUCCAAGCUUGGAAGAGACUGAUCGAUUGUGAUUAAAAUUUACUAAUUAUCUAGUUAAUCUAAACAGGUCAAUAAUCAAGUUUAAACAGAAUUGGAUUGUGAUUAGGUGGACCCUAAUCAAAAGCUUAUGAAAAAACUAUAAAUACAGGUAAAAAGUAUAGUUGUAAAAACUUUUACUAUGUAUUUAUUAUAACUUUAACUACUUAAACAAUCAAAUAUAAGCUGAUUUAAACAUCGAAAUAUAUUUAACAAAUACACAAUGAAUUAAAGAACAAAUUAUUCGAACAAAUAGAGGAUAAUUAAAAAGUAAAUAACAAAGAUAUUAUUUUAAACAGACAUUUAACCCGUAAUAAAUAUGUUAGUUUGUUUUGACGUUUCAGUAAUGAAAUAUCUACAAGGUCUGGUGAUUAAUGACACAAAUUGUAUGUAGUAGUUUUAUUUAUCCUUACACAACUAGAAUAAGGAUGACAUUUCACUUUUUGUUGUGAAAGAAAUUCAUAGGAUAAGUGGUAAUUACUUUGUUUUCCAUUUCUAUUUAAAUUUGUCAUGUAAAAAACAAUCGUGAAUAAUGUUUUAAGAACUUAAAAAUGCGUUUGACCAUAACACAGUAGACAUUUGAGCCUAAAAUUUAAAUCAAAGAACAGUGUUAGAGACUAAUUAGUUUUCACUUUCUUCAUUUUAAAACACUUAUUUACACGAAUCGGUUUUAAGUUUUCCUCCAAAUUCGAACAUUAUAAAACAAUUGCUUAAUUUUUUAAAAAACUUAAUGUCCAAAAAAUAUUGAUUAAAAGGAAAUUACAAGAAUGCAAGAGGAUCACAGAACCUUGUCGGUCAUAAACUGAAAAUGUAAUAAAGUGUUUGAUUAUCACGAAAAUUAAACCAGGGGAAAAGGAUGACGUUAACGUUAACCCAAAAGAUUGGAAAGUGGAAGUGUUAUACGAACAUAGUUGUCUAUAAACUUAGGAUUAUUGCUGAAAAAGAUGAUGGAACUCAAAAUCUCAGCCAUGAAAUAAAGAAGUUUAGAAACCCACUAGGCCACAUAAACAUUAAUUACAAGGGACAAAUAAAAGGACAAGAACAGCAAUGUCAGACUAUGCUGUUUAUUAAAUCUCUCUUCCCCUCCUGAUCUUAGAUCUCGUCUGACACCUACUUCUCUUACGAUCUUCUGCCAUAAACCUCCAAAUCCUUCUCAUAUCUAUUCCUCUCUUUGCCCACUGAGAUCACAAACCAACUCUGUCAUUAAAUCUUUAUGUGCUUUUACAGCUAAAUUUGUUUCUGAAUCAUGCCACACUUUUGAACUCCAAACGCAUUCAACUAGGAUUCAAGGUACAAAGUACCUAUACGCCUCCGUAUUUUUCUUCUUGCAUGAGAAACUAUUUGUUUUCACUUUCCAAGGUACAUUUCUCAGCAAGUUCUUCCCAUACCUUUUUUGCCUUUAUCUCAAUUUUGUUCUUAUCCAAUUUUAUCCGCUUCUGCAGACGCGUAUAUAUAAAACUGAGGUCGUGUGCUACAAGCAAAAUCAAGAAGAACUUGGUGUUUGUUCAAUUUCUGGAUCACUUGGGUGUGUAUGUGAAACAUAAGGUUUUGUAAAACAAAGGGGUAGCCAAAUGAUGGUUAGAUCCUGUUGGAAACCAAUUGCUGAUGGUGAUGAAGGAGAUGGGAGUGGGAGAGUUGAUGGACUUCUAUGGUACAAGGAUUUGGGAAGCCAUCUUUAUGGGGAAUUCUCAAUGGCUGUAGUUCAGGCAAAUAGUUCAUUAGAGGAUCGAAGUGAACUUGAAUCUGGACCUUUGAGUUCCAACCCCUCGGGCCCUCAAGGGACGUUUAUAGGUGUCUACGAUGGCCAUGGUGGAAACGAGGCCUCACAGUUUGUCAGUGACAAUCUCUUCUGCAAUCUCAAAAGUAUGCUUCAAUUCUUUAUUCUUAACAUAUGGAUUCAAAUUCAUUCAUAAUAUUGUUUCUCUAGAUCUUGUUUUAUGCAGAUUCAAAAAUAAGGAAGCCAAGCCACUUUGUCUGUUACCAUCAUUUUAUCAUGUAUUUCAGUUUGUCACUUCACUGAAUCCAUUUUAUGUGUGAUCCAGGGCUUGCAGCUGAACAUCAAGGUGUGUCAGAACAUGUUAUCAAAAGGGCAUAUUCAGCAACAGAGGAGAGUUUUCUGUCUCUUGUGAAGAAACAGUGGCUGAGUAAGCCUCAGAUUGCAUCUACGGGAACUUGUUGCUUGGUGGGGGUAAUUUGCAAUGGAAUGAUAUAUAUUGCAAAUUCUGGAGACUCCCGGGUGGUGUUAGGAAGAGUAGAAAGAGCAACAAGGGAAACAGAAGCUAUUCAAUUAUCUACAGAACACAAUGUUAACCAAGAAACAGUGAGAGAUGAACUUCGCUCAAAGCACCCUUUUGAUUCACAAAUCGUGGUAUUGAGACAAAACGUUUGGCGUGUGAAAGGCCUCAUACAGGUAUACAUUUGGUAGAUCUAGUAUAUUUCUUUAUGUCACUGGAAGAUUUUAAGUUCCAUGCUCAAAUGUUUUUCAGCAAAGAAAACAAAGACAACUAUACAUGAUUUCUUAGGAGUUAUUGCUUCCACUACACAAGAUAUGACUGCUAAUUACUCAGAACCAUUUAAUUUACACAUAGAAUAUGAUGUUAAAAUAACUGGUUAUGGCAGGUUUCACGAUCCAUCGGGGACGCAUAUCUGAAGAAAGCAGAAUUCAACAGGGAUCCUCUACCAGCAAAAUAUAGGCUCGCAGAAACAUUCUUCAGGCCAAUUCUUAGUUGUGAGCCAUCAACAUCAUCCCACACACUCCAUCCAGAUGAUCAAUUUCUCAUAUUUGCUUCUGAUGGUUUAUGGGAGCAUAUUACAAACCAAGAGGCUGUUAACAUAGUCAACAACAACCCACCAAACGUAAGCUUCCAUUAGUUCUUCAUAUCCAAACAAGAUUACAUUGUUCUCUUUCCUUUCUGUUUCUAACUAUGGUGAUUUCAAUGCACUUGUUUCAUGUAACAGGGAAUUGCCAGAAGACUUGUGAAAGCUGCACUUAGAGAAGCUGCUAAGAAGUGUGAAAUGAGGCUUUCUGACCUCCAAAAGAUUGAGCAAGGGAUGAGGAGGCACAUCCAUGAUGACAUUACAGUUAUUGUGGUAUUUCUUAACUCCAGAAGUGAGAAUACCUCUCUCUGUGGUUCUCCUCUUUCAAUCAAGGGAGGUGCCUCUGCCAAUUCCUAGAUUGCUACCUCAUCAUACACAAGUAACAACAAUUUUAUAAUAUAUAUAUAUAUAUAUAUAUAUAUAUAUAUAUAUAUAUAUAUAUAUAUAUAUAUAUAUAUAUAUAUAUNACCAAAAAGAAUAGAACAAUCACAGAAAUAUAUAUAUAUAUAUAUAUAUAUAUAUAUAUAUAUAUAUAUAUAUAUAUAUAUAUAUAUAUAUAUAUUGUCUAAGAAAAAGUUACAUACGAAACAAGCUUGUAAAGAAACAUCUCAGUUGUAAAAAGUAGAGGUAAACAUACUAAGAUAAAAAUUAAAAUGCAGAGUACCAUAUGCACUUGCGUAACCACCAUAGAUUUGUUGUCUUGAGAGACACGAGCAGUUAUUACAAUUAACAUAUAAAUAUACGUUCAUGUUAACCAGAUUAUAAACUGGAGAUAUGAUCAUCCUGAUACAUCUAAAUUACAGUGAUAAUUAUUGCAUCAUAUUAAUAUACACAUACACGUAUAUAUAAUAUAUAUAUAUAUAUAUAUAUAUAUAUAUAUAUAUAUAUAUAUAUAUAUAUAUAUAUAUAUAUAUAUAUAUAUAUAUAUAUAUAUAUUAUAUAUACGUGUAUGUGUAUAUUAAUAUGAUGCAAUAAUUAUCACUGUAAUUUAGAUGUAUCAGGAUGAUCAUAUCUCCAGUUUAUAAUCUGGUUAACAUGAACGUAUAUUUAUAUGUUAAUUGUAAUAACUGCUCGUGUCUCUCAAGACAACAAAUCUAUGGUGGUUACGCAAGUGCAUAUGGUACUCUGCAUUUUAAUUUUUAUCUUAGUAUGUUUACCUCUACUUUUUACAACUGAGAUGUUUCUUUACAAGCUUGUUUCGUAUGUAACUUUUUCUUAGACAAUAUAUAUAUAUAUAUAUAUAUAUAUAUAUAUAUAUAUAUAUAUAUAUAUAUAUAUAUAUAUAUAUAUUUCUGUGAUUGUUCUAUUCUUUUUGGUGGGUCAGGGUACUAUAUACAUGAGUGAACUAUGAUAAGAAAAUGAAUAUAUCAUGGAACAAAAGAAACAGGGAAAAAUUAAAACCGCGUAUGACACAGAAGUUCAAUAAAAAAAUAUAGGCAGAUUCCUCCAAGUUGUAAACUGAUAGCUAGGUUUUCUCAUAAUUAAUCACUUUUGUUAGGAAAAAAAAAAGUAAUUCUGAUCCUUUUAAUUGAUAUACUGAUUUUUGCCCUAAAAGUCACUUUUAAAUAUGGACUUUUGUGAUGAAAUAUUUAUUACUUUUUAGUUUGUUAUGGAAAAUUUAUUUAUUUGACCCUUCAAUAAUAAGAACACAUUUGAUACAUAUUUCUACGCAUUAUUUAUGAUUUGAGUUAAUAGAUGUACAUAGUGAAUGAUAGUAUGUGUUUCAUUUUCCAUUUAAUAAGCUUCACUAUCAAUUCAAUAAAAUCCAUUAAUUUCACUCAAAUAAUAAAAAGUACAUUUGAGAGAACAUGCUAUGCUAUGUCAACGUCUAUUCUUUUUUAUCAUUUCGAAAAUUGAUAUGAAUUAUAAUGCUUCUCUGUCUCAAUUGUCGACCUCAAAAUCCCUUUUCAAUUGUCAACUUCUAAUCUUAAAUUUAUUGUACUAAGAGCAGAGCAUCUUUAGUUUAGUCCUGAAACUUUACUUAGAAAACAGAAAAAGCCGUAAAGUGUUCGAGGUAAGAAAUAGAUUAUCCAAGAAAUAAAUAGUAAAAGAAAAACACAUAAAAAAUAAUAAUUCAAAUGAGACGAUAAAUACAGUUUUUAAAAUGGAACAAAGGCGAAAAUUAGAAAAAAUUUAAAAUAAUUUAAACUAUAUAAGAUAUACAUUUUUCUAUUACACGAAAGAAAAUUUCGAUUGUUUCUUUUUAAUAAUUAUAUAUAUUUAAACAAGGAUUUGUUAACUUAUGUAAGUGUAUUAAAUUUUAGUUUACAAAAACACUCUUACAUGAAUUGUAAGUUGUAAAGUUAAGAGUAUUUGAAUAAUUUAUGAUUUUUUGUUAUUUUUUAUUUUAAAUUAAAAAUAAAAAUUAUUAAAAUAUUUGUGUUUAAAGUAUGUCAUUUUUUUACAAAUUGAAAUUUUUUAUCAACUAAAACUUGAUACACUUUAAAAGUUACAUAAGUUAGUAAAUCCCAUUUAAAUAAUUAGAAAAUUAGGUCAACAACGUCUCACAUAUCAAUCUGGCAUAAUUCAAAGAAUGCAAUCAUUCUUUGUUUCUAGUAAUCACACUUCUCUCCUUUGAAUAAAGGAGGGCGUUUGACGGUGUAGCCUUCGUAUUCCAUGUCUCAGGAUCAUUUCAUCGAGUCUUGUCAAGAACUAACCUCGUGAGGUUAGCUCUGACACCAACUGAAAUAGUUGGAUAAACUCUAGAAGGGAGGUUGAGUAGUGUUAUAAGAAAACUUUUGCAAAGGAUAUAGUUUAACAACUAUGUCGAGCAUUAAAAAGUUUUAUGUAAGUUGUUAAAUUCUCGACUUGAAAAUUCAAUUCAAACUACAAGUUCUUUAAACAAAUAUUUUUCAAUCCUUUAAAUGAGUUUAUUGUAGUGUUUUGAUAAAACUAUCUCUUAAUAAAAAAAAAAAGGUGUUUGGUAACAAUAGUUUUUGUAGUUGUUAAUGUAAUACGUAACUAUAGGAUAUAUAAGAAAAGCGUUUAGUAAAAAAUAGAGCAAUAAAUGCACAAUUAUUUUUAUAUUGGUUCGUUCCGCCGAGCUACGUCCAAUCUUCUUUAAGACCUUAGAGGAUUUCAUUAUAAUCAUCAACAAUAUUUUACUGAGUAUUCUCACCACUCUUAAUAUCACCUAGUCACGCCAAGUAACCCUCGUUAUUCUGACUAGAACUGAGUAUCACCGACUCCUAGUUCCUCAAUAUUCUUCACCACACCUGGUAUCCCUAGACAAUCCAAAUAUGUUGUCUAGUUGAGUUUAACCCACUCUUGGUUUCCACUUGACAAACCUAUCUAGCUACCAUUUAACUCCACUGAGUUAAGUGUAAAGUUUUUGAAUUCUCUUUAGAAUUUACAAUCAAAAGAUUGAUUACAUGUCUCUAGACGAUAACUCUUGUAAAGAGGAUAUGUGUGCAACACAAUUCAAUCUAAUAGACUCAAAGAAUUUUUCUCUCUUCUCUCUUUUUCCAACAAUAAGCUUAUAUGUGAAUGAAGCUUGAAAGAGUUUUCUUGCUUGAUAUUUUCUUUUCUUUCUAAGAUAUUCUCUUUUGAGUUUAUGUACUUUAAGCUUUUUCUUGAUGUUGUUCUCUUGAGCCUUUUCUCUAUAUUCUAUUAUCUUGAAUCUCUUUUUGAAUGAUCUUCUAUUUAAAGAUUUCUCAAAAAUAUAUCUAUUAGAUAGAGCUUUGCUUUGAUCUUCGAGUAAUCUCACUAGUACAAAAAUCACAUACAACAUCGAAUAUUUUGGGCUUAUAACAACGAAUUCGCGAACGAUGUCAUAUCAGGAGAUGUCAAAUUGACGUCAAAUUUUAAAAAAUUCGACGUUAAAUUAAUGUCGAAUUUUAUCAAUAUAUGACGUUAACUUAACGUCGAAUUUUGUCAAUAUUCGACGUUAAUAAUUUCUUUUUUAAAAUUAAUUGUGAUCCUUUUUAACAACUCUACAAGAUCUGAAAAGCAGAAAAAUAACAAAUUUCAGUUUUUGGUAUUUUAUAAAGCGUGAACUUUGAUCAACAACAAACAACAAUAACCAACAACAAACAAGUUCAAUCAAACAACAACAAACAAGUUCAACCAAACAACAACGACAAACAAGUUCAAUCAAACAACAACUAUAAAAAAGUUAAAAAAAAACAACAAACAAGUUCAACAAAUAAGUUUUUCAAAACGAAAACUAACCUUCAAAAGGUGGGUUCAUUGGAAUAAAGUAUCGUCACCCAUGAGAGAGAAAGCAGAAUGCGUCUAUGAAGGACAAGAACACGAAAAUAAUCGGUCAAGAAAAACUAAAAUCAUACAUAAAGUAGUUAAUUAACAUGCAUUUGUAUCAAAUGAAAGAAAGAUUAAGUUUUUAUUUGAGAAGAGAAAAUGGUCUUGCACGCUAAGAUAAAGUGAAUGAAUUUUCAAUCUCCCGCUCAAGUUUUUAUUGAAUUCAUUAACCUUUUAGCGUCUAAUGUUGGGGCAUUCAACGUUUUAUAUCAUUUUACGUCGAAUUACAAUUAUAAACGGUGUUUAAUAAUUGCAUUUAUUUACAAAAAUGUCACCGGUCAUUUUAAACGUGGGCUAUUUAGUGGUUCGACGUUGAACGCAUGACGUUAUACGUUGUUUUUGCACUAGUGUCUCAGUCUUGUCGUAUGUAGCAGUCGUUGGUUAAAGUCAACAUGUCAAAGAAAACUUACUUUUUUAGUACUUUGACAAAAGUCAGUAGCAUGAUUUUUCUGGUACAACUUUUGAUGAGGAAAACAUUUCGUGAAUGUCUUCUUUGUUUCUAACAUCCACUUUUUAUUUGUAUAGGAUGAAGCAUGUGGAUUCAUGUAAUAGACAAUCUACACAGAGUAGAGUAGAUAUGUCCUUUCUCUUAUUACUUUUGUUGUUUUUAAACGUUCAACAUUUAAUGACAUUUAAUGCUUGUUCAUAACAACAUAGUUCUUUUUACGUUUUCUACUAUUUAGGUAGGAUUUGAUCGUUUAAGCUUUUCACUAAGAUACCAAGUAGUUGAUGAAGGCUUUAUCGUUGCAUGAAGUAGAUCUUUUGGCAUAUGGUAUCGUAUAGCCUAUGUAAACGCUUCUUUGAGUUGUUUUUGUUUUGUUCAACAACACGUUUAGCAAGGUGUAUUUCAAUAGAAGUUUUUGGAUCAUCGUUUAGGACUUUUGGCUUUCUUUCCAAAAACAUCUUUUAACACUUUCAUCUAACAAGAUAUAUUGAGAGCUUGUUUGAUCAUCACCUAGCAAUGUAUAGCACUAAUCCAUUCUACAAGACUCUCAUUAACACAUUAAAUAGGGAAACAAUAUAAUGGUGCGCCUAUUCAAACAUUGGUGUUUUUACUAAGGCUUUUCUUAAGGUAUAAAUCAAUUUCACAAACCAUUUAUAUUUGAAUUUUAUUGAUUUGCUAAUGAUAACAUUAUCAUAUGCUCAUUUCGUUUAUUAUUGUUUGUUAAACUUCUAAACAUAUGAGGACAUUUACAUAGUUCAGUCUUAUAAGUGAUCUUGUCUUAACAGUUUUCCCCUUGUUGCAUCCGUAACAUCUUGUAUUCUUGAAUCAUUGAGCUAUUUCUUAAGUGUUUAACAUCAUUUCUUCCUUUAUGAGUUAUUCUUAAAGUUUCCGACAACUCCUAAGCACUCUUGAAUAUAGAGAUCAUGUAAAACUCAUCAAAAGGUUAAAGCAUAUGAAAUAAUAUUUAUAACUUUAGCAUCACAUUGAGCUCUUCUAUUUUCAUUCGCAAUCCAUUGUGAAAAGAACUUAACUUCUGGCACAUUAUUAACUAUAACAACAAGAAUAAGAAAACCAUUUAUAACAACAUCUCUGUUUUUCAAAAAUAAUUUAAUAAUCGAUUAUCACCAUGUAUAUUUAAAAAAAAAAUGUUUUGUCCUUCAAGUGUUUGAAUGUUACUACUUUGUGACUCUUUAGACAUAGCCUAAAAUAGUAACAACUAUUACAAGAGUAUUAUAAAGACAUUACAAAGACAAAACAUUACAACAAACAAAAUACAAGUCUUUGGACUAUUCCUUGACUUUUAUUCCAUCUUUGGGCUUAGAAUCAUCAUCAAAAUGAACUUUAGGAAGAAGAAUAUCCAACAUCUUCUUUUGUCAACAUGUUGCAAUUUUUUUUAAAUGUUUCUUCUUAUAGUAUAGUAUUACCUCAAUUCUAAAUAUCCAUAUAGAAUUAAGCUCUAGAAAACUUAAUUUAAUACAAUUUAUGUAAUUAUUUUUAAUAAUACAUAAUCUAGUAUCUAGGAAAAAUAUUUAUUUAUAUAAGAUAAAAUAGAUAUAGAUAUUAAUAUGUAUUUAAAUUAUUAUUAUUAUUUUAAAUUUUUGUGAUAUUUUGUUUAAUUAGAAGUUUUGUGUUUGUAAACAUGGAUAAGCCUAUCCAUAAUAAGCCUUUUAUAACUUUUCCAUGAUUUCUCCUUCUUUUUUUUUCUAAAUGAAAUCAAACCCUGUUUUCAUUCGAAACACGAAGCAUCUCACGAAAAAAUAACAUCUAUUUCUCUCUCCUACCUCUAUUUCUUUCUAGCCCAAAUUCCCCUUUUACCUAAAAUCUAAAGGAGAGCAUUUCCUAAAUGAUAACAUCAAACCUUUGAAAAAGCAAAAACCUUAAUCCUGAAUACGAUUACUAUAUUGGGCUUCUUCGGCAUACUAUUUCGGCCAUUGCUUCCUGCACCUCCAUAUAUUUUUUCAUCCCAUAACUUUUGAAAUGUAGUUAUACACCGAAUGCAAUGAAUAAAAAUAAUGUUUUUCGAUUUCUAACUUAAAUAAAUUUCAUAUUUUACAAUCUGUAGAUCUUUCAGAUUAAAAAAUACUAUACUUUAAUAUUUUAGAUGUAAAAUUAGUAUUUUUAAUUAUAUAAUACAAAAUGUAAAACUUUAAAUUCUGAAUUAUUAUAAAAUUUAGAUAAGAGGAAAUGUAUCAUAAGGAACAAAUUUUACAUUACAUCCCUUUUCAUAAAUCUAUAUUUUUAUCCACCAUUGCUCUUUCUCCAGCUCCUGGUGCUCUAUCAAUUCAUCACAAAUUUGUUGUAAGAGCGCAUUGCUACAAGGGUUGGGUAUGAGGGAAGAAUGAGAACGGAGGGUAAGACAUAGGGUGGUGCCUGCGACAAUGGCUCUUAGGUAAUAAUGGAGGUGAAGAAGAAAAAGAAGAAAAUAAAAUUGUCAUUUCGUCAUGCUUAUAAAGUGCAAUAAGAAAAUAUCCGGUGCUGGUAGCAAUGGCCCACUAUUUUCCCGCACUCGGCGGAUUAACAUAAAAAACAAAAAAGAAAUAUCUUUCCAUUUCCUAUCCUACUUUUUUCCCUGGGUAGAAAAGUGACGUUCAAAGAAAUACGGAAAAGUGUAAUGCCCAAACACAAUAGGUGUGCUUAACUUUUUCCUUUGUCUCAGUUUGGCAUCUAACAUAGUCAAGAAUUUACCAGCCAGAUUGUAUGACGAUUUCCUCCAUACUUUGCUUGCCAUUUUAUUAGAAAAUUAAAAUAAAUGGAAUCAAUCAAAUAUACACAAAUGAGAAAAAAAAUCAAAAAUCAAAAAACAAAAACAAUAUAGGAUAACAAAAAUUGGGUAAAUUUUGGAAAAUAUAUGGCUUCUCAACAUUGUAAUACGUGGUCUGCAUGACCAAAACAUGGUUUACCAUGUUCGCACAUCUAGCUUGCUUUGUUAUCCCUCAACGAGGCUUUGUUGUUUCUGAACACAAUUCAAAGUUCAAAUUUAAACUUCAAAUUUCAUGCAUCUAGAAAAUAGGGUUUUUCUCUCUCAUAAGGUAUAUGUUGUUAUUGUUCUAAGACUUCAAAUUUAUCUUCUCUCUUAUUGUUUUAGCAAAAGGUUUCCUUCUUAAGAAUGUUUUCUUUCUUCUUUCCCUUUCUUUUCUACUGUCAUAAUACAAAUUCACUAUUUUGGAAGUUUCACUUUUUUUAGCUUUGUUUUUAACUUUCCUUUUCUUAGGUUCUACAAGAGUGUCAAACUACUUAGGUUUUACACAAAUGUCAGACAACUAUAGGUAAUUUGAACACGUUAGACGACUUAAGACAACAGGUCAAAAUAAUAGGAUCAGACAAAUCAACCUAAAGUGGUAAAGCACUAGAUUUCUACAGAGGAGUAGAUCAGUUAAAGUAAGCAUUAGACAAGCAAAGAGAUAAUGCAUUAGACAAGUCCAAUAAGAACAUCAAACUCAACUAUUGAUCAGAAGAAGUAAAUAUGAUGCAAUAAGGCAUUAGACUCAUGCAAAUGUUAGAUGAGUCAACGUAAACACACGAAGGCAUUAGACAAAGUACCUAUGUCAAACAAGUCAAAUCAUGCAAGUAAAAAAGGAAAGAAAAGAGCAAUUAGACGAGUCAAAGGCAUUCAAAGAAGUCAAUAUGAUAUAUUAUACAAGUCAAUCCAAAAGGCACAUAAAAGAUACCAUGUGAGUAUUUAUUAGAUGAGUCAAAGUCAACUCUUGAAGCAUAACAUUUAAACACCUAUUAGACGAGUACUUUUAUUAGAUGACUUGAUUGGAAGGAUGGCUAGACGAGUAAAAAGUUAAGACACUUAACAAGUAUCAAAUUGAUCAAGAAAAAGAUGUUCAGAAAGUUGCAAAAGAAAUACAUUCAAUCAUAAAGGGAUCAAGAUCAAUUGCAAAUUGAUCAAAAAAUCUUAAUGUUGAAAUUGAUGGGCAAGAUGAUCAAGUCAACAAGGAAAAUAUCACAAGAGCAAGAUUACAUAGGGAUCUUCAACAUAUUUUGAAGAUAUUCUGAUUGAAGAAAUGAAUAUGGAAACAAAGGAUAGUUGAAGAUAUUACUAAAGAUACAUUUGAAGAAUAUCCAAAACACUGAACAUAUAUCAAAUUAUCCAAAUAAAGAAGUGUUUUGAAUUCCUCUCCACUUGAUUAUUCUAAAUAUUGCCAUAUGAAUAUUAAUUAAUCACGAGAUAGGCUAAGGACUCUACGGAUUGAAGACUAUAAGAGAACCUUUAGAUGAUUAAAGCCUCAACAUUGCAAUGUUUGAUAUCCAAAUUGUUAAAUACUAAAAAGGAAAGAACCGAUAAUUUACAAGAAGCAAUACACUUUAAUUUAUUAUCGAGAACUUCCAAAGUGAAGAAUAACAAAGAAUAUUUGAAUAUAUCUAAAGAUAUGAAGAUAUUUUACAUGAAUGGUCAAGUGAUACAAUUGAAACUAUAUAUAUCAACACCUAGAUGAAAAAUAUAUAUGAGACAAGAGAGAAAAAGAAGAAGUAUUGAAACACUAUAUAUCAAAUCUAUUCUUAACAUCUACUCGUCGUUGUACAUCUUCAUCAACAUAUGUAUUUGUUAGCAAAAUGAUGAAGAUGAAGUUUUGAUUAUGCCCAAUUCAAGUCAAGAUAUAUCAAGAUUCAAUAAGAUCAAUUGAAGACUUGUUUUGUGAUUAAAAGCUUUUGUAAUAAUUGUAGUUUGAUGUUUAGAACUUAGAUUUUUAUUAGGUUUUGAUUCAUGUACUUCCAUAGUGUAUAUUUCCUGUUCAUAAUAAAAAAACGCACAGUUUUAAUCGACUAAACUAAGUAUUAAUCGAUUAAAACGUUGUAGGUGCUGAAAACCCAAACUGGCUUUAGAAGAAUCGAUUAAGAACUAUUUUAAUCGAUUAGUUAAUCAAUUAAUCCUAAGAAUAAUCGACUAAAGCUAGUCGUUGGAGUUUUCUAGCUGUUAAAACUAGCUAUUGUACUCAUUUUAAUCGAUUAACACUUGUAUUAAUCGAUUAAAAACGUUAAAUGGCCAGAAACGAAGAAUGGAAGAGUAUUUACUUGAGUCUAUAAAUAGGCUAUCUUUAUCCAUCAACAAUAACUCUUCCCUUAUGCUCUAGAUAUCUAAAAUCAUUGAGAAUUGUGUACUCUUGCUUAGCUAAAGAAACUAUUGUCUGUGGAGUUGUUAAAGUGCUACUACGGUGACAGAGAAAUAGUUGGUUCAUCCUUGGUGUUUCUAAGGAAGUGUCUGGAAUAGGUUCAUCCUUCGUGAAGUAUUCGGAGGAGGUGAUUCAUCCUUUGUGAAUAUUCAAAGGAGGUGCAGGUUCAUCUCUUGUGGUUUCAAGAGAGGUAGUUUCGAAACUCUUUCAAAUUGUUUUUUUUUGUGAUUAUCAUUUGUAAUUUUUUUGUGAUAGUAGAAAGUUAAUAUGGUUUUAGAUGAGCAACUGGACAUAGGAUUGGUAAGAUCUGAACCAGUAUAAAAUUCAUCUGUGCAAAUUUCUCUCUACCUUACUCUUUUAUUUAUAUUUAUUAUUUGCUAAGUAAAAUUGAGAAGAAAUUUUAAAAAGGCACACAUUUUAAUUAAGAAUCAAUUCAUCCCCCCCCCCCUCUUGGUUUAUUAUUUCACGCUAAUAAUUCCGCUACAGCCGCUUUGAUAAUUGGUAUUAGAGCUUGAUUUGAUAGUUAUUCAAAUUGCAGGAUCAUAUCAAACCUUUGCAGAGGGUGCUUCUAUCAAUAGACUACCCCUAUUCACAGGUGAAAAUUAUGCAUUCUGAAAGGUUAGAAUGCAAAUAUUUAUUGAGUCUAUUGAUUGUGAUAUUUGGAAAGUUAUUGCAUUUGGUCCAUCUAUUCCUACUGACAAUAUGCAGGAAUCAAAGCUCUGUAUUUAGCGGACUACUGAAGAGAAGAAAAUUUUUCAAAAUUAUGUGAAAGCUCAAAACAUCAUUUCAUCUGCUUUAACCGUUGACGAGUUUCAAAGGAUCUCCGUUUGUAAAACUGCUCAAGAGAUGUGGGAAGUGUUGAGAGUAACCCACGAAGGUACAGAUGACAUGAAGAGAGCAAGAAAGAAUACCUUAAUCCAGGAAUAUGAAAUGUUUAGGAUGAAGCAAGGAGUAACAAUAUCAAACGUUCAAAAAUGCUUCACCAACAUUGUUAAUCAUCUCAUUGGACUAGGUAAGUCUUUUGAAAAUGACGAACUUAAUAUAAAAAUCUUGAAAUCUUUAGACAGGUUAUGGCAACCAAAAGUGAUUGCAAUCUCUGAGUCACAAAACCUCAACACAAUGACUAUGGCAACACUAUUCGGAAAGUUGAGGGAGCAUGAGCUUGAUCUUGGAAGACUUGAUGAAGAAGAAGAAGCCAAAACUAAGAAAAAGACACUAGCUUUCAAAUCCAAGGUCGAUAGGAGUAAAAACAAGAUAGAAGAUGAAGACUCGAAGGAUGAAGAAAAUUUGAGUCUUGUGAUCAAAAGGUUUAAUAGGUUCAUGAAAUCAAAAGGUAAAGGAAGAUUUAGAUAUGAAAAGAGAGAAAAUCAAGGAUCUUCCUCAAAUUACCGAUGCUACGGUUGUGGAGAGAAGGGGCAUCUAAAAGUUGACUGCCCAAAUCAAAAGAAGGGGGAAGAAAAGAAAGAAAAUAAAAACUUCAAGAAAAAGAAGACCUACAUUGCAUUAGAGGAUGACAAUGAGACAAUUUCUGAUUUUAGCGAGUUUAGUGAAGAAGCUAACAUUUGUUUAAUGGCAGACGAUGACACUACUAGCCAAGUAAGUAAUUAUAGCUAUUCAGAUAAUUAUAGUCCAUAUGGUGAAGAUGAAUUGCAUGAAACAUAUGCUGCUUUACUAAUAGAAUUUGAAAAAUUAGAUAAAGCUCAUAAGAAAUUGAAAAAGGACAUUAAAGAAUCAAAAUUUAAAUUUGAAAACAUUCUUGAAGAAAAUAAAAAUUUACAAUUAGAUGUUGAAAAUCUUUCUAAAGAAAAUAAAAAUUAAUAAACAGAUUUUGAAAAUACUUUUGAAGAGAAUAAAAAUUUGAAAAACAAAAUUUUAUUUUAUGAAAAAGGUAAAUAUGUUAGUAGUAAUGAAUAUGCAUCUUGUACGAAUCAUAAGAAAUUACUAGACAACACAACCUUAGGAGAAUGUAGCAAAAAUAAUAAAAAUAAGGUUGUUAAAAACUUAAUUAUAGACCCGUAGAACUUGGGUAGAAAAGGGAACAACUUAUAGAAACACAAAUAUUGUAUCAUGUUUUUAUUGUAUGAAAAAGGGUCAUACUUCAAACAAAUGUAAAAUUAAACAUUAUGGUGUUUCUAGUGGUAAAAUAGUUUUAAAUCUAACCCAAAGGACCCAUAUAGAAUAGUUGGGUACCUAAGUAGCUUGUUCUUUUUAUUUUGCAGGAAUUAUCAAAAUCGAGGAAGUUCAUGUAGUGUCUUGAUAGUGGAUGUUCAAAACACAUGACCGGAGACAAGAUAAAAUUUACAGACUUUCGGAAAAAGGAACAAGGCUUUGUCACCUAUGGUGACAACAACAAAGGAAGAAUUCUUGGAAAAGGAGAUAUCAGAAGCAAAGAUACCUUGAUGAUCAAAGAUGUGCUUUAUGUGGAAGGAUUAAGGCAAAAACUAAUUAGCAUUAGUCAACUGUGCAAUAAAGGACUCAAGGUAACCUUUGAACAAAAUUCUUGCACUAUUUAUAAAAAUGAUUUAGAAAAUGUAUCAAAUAGAAAUAUUGCAUGUUUUGAUGUAAAAGAAGAAAAUCCAUGGUUGUGGCAUAAGCGUGCAACUCAUAUUCAUAUGCAACAAUUGAAUAAAUUCAUUUCUAGAGAUUUAGUUGUUGAGAUUAUUGACAACACAAUUUCUAUAUCAAUCUAGUUUUUUAUGAUGACAACACAUUGCUUAAUAACAUGCAUAUGUUGUUUGCUGUUAUUACAUGUUUGUGUAAUGUGUUACAUGUUCCUAUGCUGAUUGGUUGAUAUAUAUCUGGAACGUGUUUACGUGUUUUAUGUGCUAUGUGUUUUGCAUCAUUUUAUAUGUUUUAUUGCACAUGUUUUAAAGCUAAAAAACACAAGCACUUUUAUGAACUUUUAACUGUGUGACAAAGUUCUAGUACAGUCGAUUACAUUGUAAAUGGAUUCGACUAUGCUAAAGUCUUUGUGCAGAUUUUGAGGAUCAGUGCUAUGUGUAUUUUUUAGAAGAAAAGAAUUUCAAAAUGUUUUACAUGGUUGAUGUCGACUAUGUGGUUUACGUACUCGACUAUAUCUGUUGUCUGAUUUGGAAUUCUGUUAUGCUCUUGUACUCUAACGGCUAUAUUUUUAAAAGUUAGUUGAGCAUUGAUGAAUUGGUCAACUGUAUUGAAUGUGUUGUAUUAUUUGUUGACCGUGAGCUACUAUGUUGACUGAACUGUUAUAAUUGUUAUAAUACAGUCGACUGAACUAGUAGCACAUUCAACUGAGAAUCUGACUAUAUAACAGAAAUCUAUAAAUAGACUAAACGCAGGUUUGUUCAGAGACUUUUGGUGAACUGACAAAUUUCAUUUUUGUUUCAGAUUUCUCUUAGCUCCAAAAAUUCUCCAAGAAGACGGUUGUGAUCUUUCUUGAACGAGAUUCAUUGAGGAGACAUUGUGCGCUUAUACUUGUUGAUCAUUACCUGCACAAGAAAGGUGCUUCUGUUUAAUCGUGUUGAAGGCUUGGCAUCCUGUAAAGACUGCUGAAUUAUGAUCAAGGCUUGGCAUCCUGUGAAGACUGUUGGAAUUGUACCUGUUGUGAUACAGGGGGAUAGUGCACUUUGAGGAUUGUUCAAAGUGGUGUUGCAGAUUGCAGAAAAGGGGAUUCUUGCUGCAACUCUAGUUUUGUUGUGUAGCUAUAUUUUGGUUUUGGGUUAGAGAGGAGAUUUAUAUUUUUGACGUGGAGGUCUUCUAUAAAUUCCUUGUUGUAAAAAGUGCAACCAUUAUAGUGCAUUUGCUUCUGAGUGGAAGGAAACUGGAUGUAGGCGUUGUUGGCUGAACCAGUAUAAAAACCUGUGUUUGAUUUUCUCUAUCCCUUAUCUUUUACAUUCCAGUCGCCUCUAUUUCUAAUGCAAUCUACUACGUUUUUUCCGCUGCAUACAUUUUUUGAUUGCUUGCAUUUCAAUAAAGUUUAAAAAGCUUUAUACUUUGUUUUCAAGAUUGCGAAAAGAACAUAUUUUUGAAAAAUCACCAAUUCACCCUCUCUCUUGGUGUAUAAAGAAGCCUACUUGUUUUCCAACAUUAGUAAUUGGUCUACCAAAACUAAAAUUUGUGAAAGACAAGUUGUGUGAUGCAUGUUAAAAGGGUAAACAAGUGAAAUGAUUUUUUCAUUCUAAAAAUGUUGUUUAUAGUUUAAAACCUUAAAAAUUGUUGCACAUGGAUUUAUUUGGUCCUUCCAUGAUGAAAAUUUUUGGUGGUAAUUAUUAUGCUUUAGUUAUUGUGGAUGAUUAUUCAAAAUAUACUUGGACUUUCUUUCUUACUCUUAAAAAUGAAGCUUUCAAAGAAUUUAAAAAGUUUAUGAAUUUAGUUCAAAAUAAAAAGGAUUUGAAAAUAAAAGCUAUUAGAAGUGACCAUGAAGGUGAAUUUCAAAAUGAACUGUUUGAAAAUGCUUGUGAAGAACAUGGCAUUUCACAUAAUUUUUCUGCACCUAGAACUCCUCAACAAAACAGAGUAGUAGACAUAAAGCAUAGAUCCUUAAAGGAACUUUCACGGACUAUGUUAAAUGAAUAUAAUGUUCCUAAACAAUUUUGGGUUGAUACUGUGAGUACUGCAUGUUAUGGUUUGAAUAGAAUGCUUAUCAGGACUCUUUUGAAAAAUACUCCUUAUGAACUUUUUGAGAGUAGAAAACCAAAUGUUCCACAUUUGAGAAUUUUUGGAUGCAAAUGUUUUGUCUUAAAUAAUUGAAAACAAAGUUUAGGAAAAUUUGAUUCCAAAGCUGAUGAAGGUAUUUUUCUUGGUUAUUCUCUAAUGAGCAAAGCUUAUAGAGUAUUUAAUCGACAGACUUUUACAAUAGAAGAAUUUGUGCAUGUUGUUUUUGAUGAUAUUGUGGACCUUGACGCAAAACCUCUUGAGUUAGAUGAAUCUGAUGCAGGUAAUGUUGAAGACUUAUCGAAGACAACAAAUGAAGCAAAGAAUGAUGACAAUCCUCAAGGUGAAGACCUAAACAAGAUAUGGCAACAACCUAGAGGAUUAUCAUUGGACAACAUUAUUGGCGAUAUAUAUAAAGGGGUAAACACUAGAAGAAAUAUAGUUAAUUAUUGAAUGAAUGUUGCUUUUGUUUCACAGAUAGAACCGAAAAAUAUUAAAGAAACUCUUCAAGAUGAAAAGUGGUGUAUAACAAUGCAAGAAGAACUCAACCAGUUUGAAAGAAAUCAAGUUUAGGAAUUGAUUCCUAGGAAAGACACUCAUCAAGUAAUUAGAACAAAAUGGGUGUUCAGAAACAAACUAGAUGAAGAUGGAAAUAUCACCAAGAAUAAAGCUAGGCUUGUAGCACAAGGAUACAGUCAAGAAGAAGGUAUAGAUUAUGAUGAGACAUAUGCUCCAUUUGCCAGGUUAAAGGCAAUACGCCUACUUCUUGCUUACGCAUCUAUAAUGAAAUUUAAAUUAUUUCAGAUGGAUCUUAAAAGUGAUUUUCUAAAUGGUUUUAUCAAAGAAGAUGUGUAUGUUGAACAACCACCACUUUUGAAGAUUUUAAAUAUCUUAAUCACAUCUAUAAAUUGAAGAAAGCACUGUAUGGUUUAAAACAAGCACCUAGAUCUUGUUAUGAAAGGCUUAACAAUUUUCUUUUAGAAAAUGAUUUUAAUAGAGCAAAAAGUUGAUUCAACUUUAUUUAUUAAAAGAGUUGGAAAACAUUUUCUGAUUAUUCAAGUAUACGUUGAUGAUAUUAUAUUUGCUUCAUCUAAUAAAUCUCUUUGCGAGAAUUUUGCUAAGAUUAUGCAGGGUGAAUUUGAGAUGUCAAUGAUGGGAGAACUUACAUUCUUCCUCUGUCUUCAAAUUAAGCAAAUGGAGGAAGGUACGUUCAUUUCUCAAACUAAAUAUUACAGGGAAAUUCUUAAAAAGUUUGAAAUGGACAACACUAAAGAAGCAUCUACUCCCAUGGGAACCUCAUGUUAUUUAGAUAAAGAUGAAACUGGAAAAGGAGUGAAUGAAACCAUGUUUAGAGGCAUGAUAGGAUCUUUGCUAUACUUAACCGCUAGUAGACCAGAUAUUAUGCAAAGUGUCUAUGUGUGUGCUAGCUAUCAGUCUAGUCCUAGAGAGUCUCAACUUACUACAGUUAAGUGCAUAUUGAAAUAUCUUAAGGGAAGAACAUCCUUUGGUUUAUGGUAUCCUUCAGGAGCUGAACCUAGUCUUGUACGUUUUUCAUAUGCAGAUUAUGGAGGUUGUAAGAUAGAUAGAAAAAGGACUAAUGGAACUUGUCAUCUUCUAGGUAGUUCCUUAGUUUCCUGGCAUUCUAAGAAACAAUCCUGUAUAGCCUUAUCAAGGCCGAGCAUAUUGUUGCUGGAAAUUAUUGUGCACAAAUCUCAUGGAUGAAACAACAAUUAGAAGAUUAUGAUAUUCACUUAUAUCAUAUACCACUUAAGUGCGAGAAUACAAGUCCAAUAAAUCUUACAAGGAAUCCCAUAAUGCAUUUUAGAACCAAGCAUAUAGAGAUUAGGCACCAUUUCCUUAGAGAUUAUGUGCAGAAAGGAGUUUGUGAGAUAGAAUGCAUGGACUUAAAACACCAAUUAAUUGAUAUUUUUACCAAAGCAUUGCCUAGGGAUAGAUUUUUUUUUAGCUUAGAAGGGACUUGGGUAUAUUAUAAAUCUCUUAAUAUGUCUUUUCACGCUUAAUUUCGCGUUUUUUCGUUUUUCAGCGUGUUUAAUCGACUUGUAAAUCAUUAAAAACGUAACCCCUUUUGUGUUAUGUUUUUGCGACUAGACUAAUCGAUUAAUCCAAGUUUUAAUUGAUUGUUAAUCGAUUACGCCAUUUUAACUCUUUUUUUUUUAAUUUUCAGUGUUGUCCUUAAUGAACUAGUCAUUGGCAACGUCUCUUAACAACUAUAAACGGCUAGUUUAUCCAUUUUUCGACCGUUUGGAAGCUAAUGUUGCCUUAUAUAUACCCCAAAUGAUGCUGGAUUCCCAUACUUGAACCUUCCAUACUUAUAUACACUUGCUUUCUUCUAUUUUCUUCAUCCAAAAUCUGUUGCAUAUCCUUUUUUUUCUUUUCCAUAUGGUUGAACCUUCAAGAAGGAGGAGAAGAAGAAACAUGGCAUCUGAAAGCCGCACUCCACAACGUGACAUAAAUCUUGAAGGAUGGUUUCUUAUGAGCAAGAACAACAUGAGUUCUUGUAAUUUUGGAAGGAGAGGAAAGUGCUCAAGCAAAAGUUUAUUGAUCUUCAAUGGUACACUUCAUAUGGCUUCAACUUUCCUCAACUCAUUAUUGAACAAGAUGUUCAAAACUUGAUGGAGCUCCGUAGACGUUAUUAUCCAGGUCUUGUUUGGGUGUUUUAUUACAACCUAAAAGUUCAUGAUGGAGUAUUCCACACAAGGGUCAAUGGAGUGGAUAUUGUCCUUGUGAAUGAUAUUUGGACAAAUGUGGCUAAAGUUCCUAUCUUGGAAAAUUAUCAGAUAGUUCCUAGCGACUUUGUCCAAUUCAACAAAAUUAUGGUGUAUCAGUCAUUUUUAAGGAAUCCUCGUCAACACCAGAACACUCUUCUUUUCCUUGUUGGUAGCUUGAAGAUGGAAGAACGACUUCUACAUUAUCUUCUUGUGUGGCUCUUAUGUCCCAGCGGGUCCAAUCAUGCACAGUUAUCUGAAACUGAUCUUAUGAUCAUGUAUGGGAUACUGUAGAGUAUUCCUCUUAAUUGGCCUCACCUUCUUCAGAGAAUCAUGUAUAAAGCUAAAAGAUUGGAUGUUGCUCUGCUCCCUUAUCCGCUCUUGGUUUCCCAUAUUUAUGAGUAUAAAGUUGUAAACGUCUCCAAUGAACAUGUUGAGAAUGUUCUUCCUAGUCACAAGAUUGGAGAUAAUUCCCUCAGGCAAAUGGGCUUUAUUAAGCAAGGGAAUUCCUAUAUUCACUCUGACGAUGUUGGUGUUCAAGCUAAUGAAGACGAUGAAGAUUUUCACAUGCCUGACUCAACUCAAGUUGCGUGACCAUCUCAUGUGCAGGAAGAGUUUAGUCUAGAAAGUCUGUCUAACAAAUGACUAAGAUGGCAAGGUUACAACAUGAGAUGAUGUCUAUUCAGAACACUUGCCAUAAGGAGAUUUACACUCAUCUCAAGAACCUUUACGAGAGAAUUUUUGGUUUAGAGAGGCAUUUUAAUGAUAGUGAUGAAUUUUAAAUUCUUGUAUGCCUUAUCUAUUGUAUGUUUUUGCUUAUUAAAUUUUUUAUUUUUGUAUACAUUUGAUUAUUGAAAUUGAAAUUGUUAAAAAUAGUAUGGCUUAGUUUCUCACACCAAGAGGGGGGUGAAUUGGUGAAACACAAAAUCAGAGUCUUUUUUUAAUCUUUUUCGCAAAGUUGAUGCCUUUGAAAACUUUCUUGAAAUGCAAGGAAAAAGAUUUUUAAGUGCAGCGGAAUAAAUUUGACUAAGCACAAAAUAAAGUCGACUUUGAAUGUAAAAGUGUAGGGAUAAGAGAAAUCAAACGCUGAUUUUUAUACUGGUUCGGACAACCAGACUACAUCCAGUGUCCUUCCAAUCCCAAGAACCAAAUGCACUAUAAUGAUCAAGGUUUUUACAGCAAGGUUUUUAUAGCGACAACACGUCAAAAAUAUAAAACACUUCUCUAACCCUUUAAUCAAAAUAUAGGCAUAUAACAACAAAGACCAGCAACAAGAAUCCCCUCUCCUGUUGUCUUCAACCCUUUGAGCAACCUCUUAAAAUCCAGAAUGCAGCACGUCCUCUUCCUGUAAUCACAACAGGGCAACACACCAGUCUUCAAAAGAUUGAGAUCAUAAUCACAAAGGUAACACCUCAAAGUGCAGGUUGAUAAGACUAUCAAAGCACACAAUUCUUGCUCUUCAAGUAAUCACCAAAGAUAAACAUCACGGUCUUCUUUUUUAUUCUUGGAGCUUUUCAGCAUUCUAUAAGAGAUCAAUAAUCUGAAAGAAAUCACAAAAAUCGUUAGAAUCACUAAACCUUCUUACAGAAUUCAAAUUCACGUCUAUUUAUAAAUUUUCACAAUUUUGACACUCUCAAGUCGACUUAGCUACUAAUGCAGUCGAAUGUACUAUGACAGUUAUAACAGAUAGUAGCAGUCAAAGCAACUUCUUUGAUUACACAAUUAAUGCAGUUGAUUCUCAUUAAAUUCUUGGUCAAGACAAUUAAAAAUAUGACUGUUAGACAUGUCAAACAUUAACAGAAUUUCAAAACAUAACAAACUUAGUUAAAUGACUUACGCACAUAGUCGACUUUGUAACAGUACAAUGCAAUCUUGAAAAACUUUCUCUUCAAAAAUUCUCACAACACAUUUUGAUAAAGUUUGUGCAAAGACACAAAUUUUAAUCGACUUACUCAAUAAUGAAGUCGACUUAAAGCAUUUGUUUUGCCACACAAUUAAAGUUCAACAAAAGUGCAUGUGGUUUUUCUUUUCAAAAACAUUUGUCAUGCAUUCACAGAUAAAAUCUCAUGUAUAACAUAGUGAAUUGCAAUGAUCAAUCAGAAAAACAACAUAAACAUGUUCUCAUAUAAUCAUAAUCAUGAAAGCAAUAACAUGUAACACAUAUACACAUGUUUAAUUAUGUGUUGUCAUCAUAAAAAACCAGAAGCUAUGAGAUUGUAGGUUCAGCUAAACCAAUGCUCCCCUAUCAACAAUCUCAACAGAAAUAAAAUGACUUAUGUAGGUUUUAUCCUAUGCAUACAUGUUAUUUUUUAAAGGGGAGUUUAUGUUAACAAAACUUUUUAACUCUGAUAAAAAAGGGGGAGAAAGUAUUUUAAAGCUUACUAUUACUCACUAAUGUUCUCUUCUUUCAUGAGUUGUAUUUCUCAUAUUAUUACUAAAAGCUUUAAUUUUAAGGAGUUUUGAUCAUCAUGAAAAAGGGGGAGAAUGUUAGCAAAAUGAUGAAGAUGAAGUUUUGAUGAUGCCCAAUUCAAGUCAAGAUAUAUCAAGAUUCAAGAAGAUCCUUUGAAGACUUGUUUUGUGAUUAAAAGCUUUUGUAAUAAUUGUAGUUUGAUGUUUAGAACUUAGGUUUUUAUUAGGUUUUGAUUAAUGUACUUCCAUAGUGUAUAUUUGCUGUUCAGAAUAAAAAACGCAUGAUUUUAAUCGAUUAAAAUGUUGAAGGUGCUGAAAACCCAAACUGACCCUGAAAUAAUCAAUUAAUACCUAUUUUAAUCGAUUAGUUAAUUGAUUAAUCCUAAGAAUAAUUGAUUAAAGCUAGCCGUUGGAGUUUUCUAGUUUUUUUACUCAUUUUAAUCGAUUAACACUUGUAUUAAUCGAUUAAAAGCGUUAAAUGGCCAGUUACAAAGAAUGGAAAAGUAUUUGCUUGAGUCUAUAAAUAGGCUCUCUUUAUCCAUCAACAACAACUAUUCCCGUGUGAUCUAGAUAUCUGAAAUCAUUGAGAAUUGUGUACUCUUACUCAACUAAAGAAACUCUUGUCUGGGUUGCGGUGACAGAGAAAUAACUGGUUCAUCCUUUGUGUUUCUAAGGAAGUGUCUGGAAGAGGUUCAUCCUUGUGAAGUAUUCGGAGGAGGUGAUUCACCCUUUGUGAAUAUUCAAAGGAGGUACAGGUUCAUCUCUUGUGGUUUCAAGAGAGGUGGUUUCGAAACUCUUACAAAUUGUUUUUCUUUGUGAUUAUUAUUUGUAAUUGUUUUUGUGGUAAUGGAAAGUUAAUCUGGUUUUAGAUUAGCAACUGGAUGUAGGAUUGGUAAGAUCCUUACCAGUAUAAAAUUCAUCUAUGUAAAUUUCUCUCUACCUUACUCUGUUAUUUAUAUUUAUUAUUUUCUAAGUAAGUAAAAUUGAGAGGAAACUUUAAAAAGGCACACAUUUUAAUUAGGAACCAAUUCAGUCCCCCUCUUGGUUUAUUGUUCCACGUUAAUCAUUCUACUGCAGUCGCUCUGACAGUAUUAACAUCUACUCUUGUAUAAAAAUACAAUCAUCGCAAUCACACACAAUAAUGUAAGGUGAGCGAAUAAGAUAACAAACAUAAUAACCAUAAGUAUACCUUAACAAUAAAACACAACUACUCACCCCAAACGAUACAUAAUCACAAUGUUUCAGAACACAACUCAACAUACCGGUUGUCCCACCCAAUAAUUCAUAACAUCAUCAACAAUGCAAAUAGUAAUUAGUGAACUCAGCGUCAGGAACCAGGUUUCCACUAUAACUCUCAAAAAUAGUUACCGACAAAUGUUCAUCACUAGAGAAAUCACCCUUCUUGCUUCUCAUAAGCCUUAUGGAUAGGGUCCACUUCCCCUACUCUCUUAAAGCCUUACGGGUGAAGUAAACAAAAGCCACUUCCCACCCAUUUCUCAAGAGCUCCCUCCCCCCUUUCUAAAGAGCUUCCCUUAUGAAGUCCACCCACUAGUACAAAAACAGCAUAUAAUGUCACACAUUGAAUGUCCAACCACUAAAUAGCCAACGUUAAAAAUGACCGGUGGCCUUUUUGUAAAUAAAAUUUCAAUUUAGACGUCGAUAUAAACUUUUCCGAGUUAAUUGGUUAUAAGACAUCGGAUAUUGAGAAGUCUGACGUCAUAUUGGGUAAAUUUCGUGAAAAUCAUUAAUGAGAAGGUGAAAAUGUACUUACGUAUGACGUCGAAUGCACUAGAGUUAGAUGUCAAAAGGUUAUAAGACAUCGAAGGCCCUAGAGUCAGACAUUAUAUGUUAGUAAAUUCAAUAAAAAUUUGGGCGGCAGGUUGAAAAUUAAUUCACAUUAUCUUAGUGUGAUACCCUCUUCUCUGCUUAAACUUUUCUCGAGCGAAGCUUGGCGACUAAAACUUGUAAUCUUUCUUUCAUUUUAUACAAAUGCAUGUUGGUUAACUUCUUUAGGUAUCAUUUUUAUUUGUUUUGAUCGAUUUCUUUGGUGUUCUUCUUCAUAUGUGCAUUCUGUUUUCCCUUUUGCUGGUAGGAAAACUUUAUUCCCAUGAACUCGCCUUCAAGAAGGUUAGUUUUCGUUUUCAUUUUCCUUUUAAGAACUUGUUUGUUAUAUUGUUAAACUUUUUGUUCAUACCCCUUGUUUCUUGUUCAUACUCCUUGUUUGUUGUUUAUAUGACACUACACGUUAUACAUCCAAGCUUUAGGGUAAAACUAAGAGUAUAUUCAAAAUAACUCCAAAUCACUUGAAAAUUUCUUCAAAGCACCAAAACAACAUGAGAAGACCUCACAAAAACUUUUAGAUCAAAAUUCAAAGCCUAACUAUUUUAAAUAUUUUUGCAAAGUUUGAAAAAAAAAUCCAAAAAAAUAGAAAACAACAUUUUCUGGAAAAUCUAGAAGGACUAGCUAGCUAAGUGAGCUACCACAGUAUCAAAAAUUUUUUUCUACCCCAAAUCCAUAUAUAAAGAUAGCAAAUCGGAAAAUCAGAGCAAAAGUUAUUGUCGUUUAAAGAUCUAUCGCAAUUCACUUUGCAAAUAAUUUUUAUACUUCAUAGACAGCCAAAGUAAGGGUGAUGAGUGCAUAUUUAUGCCCACAUUUAUGCUUUAAAUUUCAAAAUUUUAAUGACAUUCAUGUGCUUAAGUGAUUGAUUUAAAGUGAAUUUUUGACAAUUGGAAUUAUUGGGUUUGGGAAUUAAAAAGACCUAAAAAGUUAUUUUUAGCGCAUAAAUUAUUCUUGGAUGUCAUAAUGUUUUUUGAUGCAGCUGAAAUUAGAGUUUAAGCAUGGAAAUAAGUGGCCCAAAUUGCAAAUCAAGGCCCAAAAUCAUAAUUCUCAAAAGGGAAUUAGUUUAUUCAAGAAAAAGGGUUGAAUGCAUCCCUGUUUUUACAAAUAUACACUCCUAUUUCUGAAACAAGCCCAACAAGUAAGCCCAAACACUAAGCCUAAUGUUUUAUGCAAGGUAUUGUUGUAAUUAGAAAUCUCAUCUUAGUCAUUUCUUGUAACAAUCAUGUUAUCUACAUAUACAAUCUCAAAGCUAUAAUUUUUCCUUUUCCAAACUCCCUAAAUCAGUCCCAACCCCUUACUUCAAAAUUUCAUAACUCAAACCUCGAAUUUGGACUUACAACUUAAUUACAUACCAUCUUGACAACAAUAAUAUCAAAAUCACACUUUACCAAACAUUCAAGCAUCAUAUUAUCAAUAAUCUUCAUCUAAACACAAUGAACAUUAGAGCAAAUAUCACAAUUACAUUUAAAUAAUCUUAUCACUCAUGAAAAUAUUAAACAUACACAACAAACAUAAUAUAAAGAAAAGACUAGCUUCCCUUACCUUAAGAGAAAGCUACCACAACUCUAAAAACACCUAAAAGAUUGCUUGAAACACAAAGAACUUUAACAAGACCUACAAAACACAGAAUUGGAAACAGAUUGAAUCCUUAGAACCUCAGAUUACCAAAGAACUAUGAGAAGAAGUCACAAAACACAUGUGACAAAGAAUCAUUUAAUGUGAUCUCAAAUUAAAAACGAAAGGAAAAAGGAGUCAAAACGUAUAGAAGUGAAGAUUGCUUCGAGUGAUCUUCUAGGAACUUUCUGAUCGUCAAACAUCGAGGAGUUAAAAAUUUUAAAAAGAAGUGAAAGAAAGGUAAGAGAAAGAGUUGUAGAGAAAUGACUUGUAUUUUAAGUAAUGAGAUGGGUUUAAAAAAUUUUAUUUAUUUUAUGAAUGAUUUUAACUUUAAAAAACUUGGUCUCAUUAUUUUAAAACAUAUCAACUUUAAUACCUUAUUUUUUAGUCUUACAUAACAUAAGUCUUUUGCAAUUUUUAAUGAAUUAUUAUCUUAAAUAUUUUAUUAUUUAGUUUAUUAAUAAUGUUAUUAUUAAUUAUUUAUUUAUUAUUUUAUAUCAUUUUAAUUAUUAUUAUUAUUAUUUGUCAUUACUUACACAUUUUAAUAAAUUUUUGGAGUUUUCCGUAUUCUAGACUUUGUUCCCAUCUUAAAUAUACGAACUCUUAUAAAUAUAAGAAAGUUAUUCAGAGACAUUAAAAUUGUCCAUUAAAAAACUAUAUUUUGUACAGUUUUUUUGAAUUUUGAAUUUUAAAUUCAAAUUUUGUAUAUUAUAUUUUUAUAUUUUAUUUCUAAAUUUCAAAUUUAAAACUUUGUUACCGUGUGUUUAGAAUUUCAAAAAGUUGACAAUAUUAAUGCUAAUUUUAGAAAAAAGAAAUUGAAAUUGAAAUUGUUAAUUAAUUAAUUUUACAUCUUUAAAAGUUUUAAAAAAAUUUAUAAUUAUUCUCACAUAGCACAUUAAUAAUACAAUUACAAAGAAAAUAUUUAACACAUUAAUUAAUAUAUACAAAGACCCACUCUCUUCCUGAAUAUACGUGUGCAUUCAAGCUUAAAUGCAGUUUAAGCCUAGCAUUUCUUGCACAAUAUACUAUUGUAUUUAUUGCACAGAUUCUUAAACUUGCAUUUUUUAUGUUUCAUGUUAUAGAAAAAAUUGAUAAGCAUGUUUUGAAGUCACCUUUUUUAAAAAUUUUAAAAAUGUCUGCUUCUUUCUUUAGCUUGAAAAUCAAUGGAAAAUUAUAAAAGCAUAAAAAAAAUCUAAGCCAAACAAUAAACAAAAUAUAUAAAAGAAUAAAGAAUUACCUGUCCAAAUUCAAAAUUAGGCUCUCAGACUUCGAAUAUGAAUUGUGAAGAGAUGAAGCUCCUAAAUAUCUUACUAUACAUGUUUUGAUCCAAGACAAUGUUGCUUAUUUUGAGAUCUCGAUGUAUAUAUAAACCGCAAUUGAGAAUCCUCAUGGGGACUAAAUCAACCUUAUCUUAUAAUUUUGUGUCUUAUUUUUUUUAUGUACACAAAAAGUAAAUGGACAAGAAUUUGGGAUUUCAAGACUGUAAUUCUAGUAAAAUCAACCGUAUUUGUUUUAGAUAUUUUGCUGAUAGACCCAACCAAACCACAAUCUUGACCUACAGUUAAAAUUCAUAAAUAUGUGUAUUAGUUUCGGUAUAGUACUGGAUUUUGUUCUGGACGUCGCAUGGCUAUUCUCUAUGAGCAUUUGGAUGCUGAUACGUGUUUUAAUUAUUUAUUAUCAAUUAUUUUCAUUUAGUGCUCACGAUAACGUUAGUUUGUUACUGGUGCUGUAAAUCGCAGACUAUGUGAUUGUCGUAGCGUAGGUACAAGAGUUUAAUUUUGAGAGGUUGGAUGUUCAUCUUUUCAGAUUCGUGAAAGGUUUUCAUGAGUAGAACUCUUUACUAUCUGGUUUUAAAAAUGAAUCUCAAAAUUAUAAUAAUUGUAUAAAUGAAACCUCCUUCGUUAAAUUGGCUUAAACUUCCGUAUCCUGAUAUGAAAUCUGAUUUUUUUUCUUCUUUCUCACUUUUUUUUCUGCAACUUUCAUAUUUUUUAUCUUUCUAUAUUAAUCAAUGCCUUCACCCACUUUUUCAACCUUAAAUUCAGAAAUGGGCCCACUGUGAAAUUAAUUGUGAAGUGUUAUUUUUGUUUGUGAGUAAUUAAGGAUUAUACUUAGUAUUUCCUAAAUCAUCAAAUUUCAAUUAAUAUUGACAAAUUGUUCUCUUUUUCUGUCAAUAUUUAAUUUUAUCUUUUUUUUUGUCUGCAUCAGGAUAUUCAAAAAAUAGAGCAGUAUCUUCCAUUACUGGAAAAUUUGAUUUCCUGUGCUGGUGUAAUAAGCACCUAUGGUGGAAUCCAAAUGGCUCAAUGGCUCUUAAGAUACGCUGGAGUAGUUCCCUCAGCACAUCUUCUUUCUUCAAUUGAUAAUCUGCAAUUUGAGCUUGGUAUGACCCUUUUUCUUUGUGGUGGUAUCCUGCGCGAAAGGGCCUUAGAAGUUCUAUCAACUGGUAUGCCAUCAUUUUUGUUCUGCAAAUUUGGUUCGAUCCAUCACCAUUUUCAGAGAAGCUGCUGGCAUUUAUCAUCAUCUAGCGCAAGAAGUUCUCCCCUCCUUACAGCCUGAAUUGCCACCGCAAAAGCCCCCGGAAGCUCUUGCUGAAGUAUCCACCAUUAUGAGUCUCCUUUGCUUAGUUGAGGCCCAAGUUGGUGUUAUGUAGUUUUCUGUGUCGUUUCAUUUUUGUCUCAAGUUGCAUACUGUCAUAUCAUAAAACUUAGCUGCAUUAUUUCUAACAAAUCAUAUUGCAUAUCCCAGUUUCUUAGCUUGAAGUUCAUUAAGUUCUUUGGUUUUAAAUAACUAAUGUGUACCAACUGUAUAGGCAGUAACUACAAGGAAGGCUGAAGAGAAAGGUACUUCGUCAAGUCUCUUGGCAAAGUUGCAUCAUGGUGUCACACUUUUUCUUGAAGAAGCUAUUGGCAUUUUUCACACCGUUGUCACACAAUACAAAGACAUUUCACUGCACUUACUGGUAUGCAAAGCUACCCUAAGCUUAUUGCGUUCCUUUUUAUCUCAUCAGUUGAUGCAAAUUCUGACCUAGAGUAUGUUUGAGAGCAAUCUAAAAGAUCUUUUGAGAGGUUCUCACUUGUAUCCAAACAGACCUAGUAUCUUUAACUAUGUCAAAAUAACAGGAUGCAGUAUGUGUAAUUGCUUACAUGUUGUCUGUUUUCCCUUUAUCUUGAAUUCAUUUUAAACUCUUUUUUCCCCUUAUCCUUACUCAGGUCAGAAAAAAUAAAAGGGGAAUGUAACUAGUGAACCUUGAUAUUCUUGUAAUGGUGACAAAGAAGAAGAUUGAAUAUGUAGGAGUGAAAUAGUAAUGUUACUUGUCAAGCAUAACCUAUCUCAGAUACUGUAUCCAAAUAUUUUUGUUGAUGAACAAUUUCAUAUUAAGGUGGCUGUUUUUCUUAUUUUAAUUAAUCAUUUUGUUUGUUUUUACAUUUUGAUCUUCCGUUAUGGUAUUGAGAAACUCUCUAUGUAUACAAGAAUUUAUGUGUUUUUGCAAAUGCUUACAUGAGUUGAAAGGUCAGCAACAUCUUGCAGAAAGUGUGAAGGUCUCUGGUCAAAUAGGUGUUGCUAUCGGUGUUCUUUAUUCUGUGUUGACUGAUUUUAAAAAGAAGAUAUCAGGAGAAGAGGUUUCUUACUGAACUUUCAUGGAAAAAGAAAUUAAAUGAAAAAGGAGAGGGAAAUGGAAGUAUGGUACUUUAAACUGAGAAGAGAAAGUGCAAUUUAUGGUACUUAAUGGUGGCAGGAGCAGAAGUUAACGGUGAAAGAGAAAGAAAAAGGUGACAGGUAGUUAAUGGUGAGAAAAAUAGAAAAGAGAGAGAAAAAGAGGUGACAAGAAGAGUAGAGGAGAGAGAAAAAAAGUGCAAACCAGGUAAGUGUGAAGUUAACCUUGUUUUACCAAUUACAUAACUGAAAUUUAGGUUUAAAACCUAAAAUUAGGAAACUUCUAUUGCACCUGUUUCUGGUUUAAUGACAAAUAUGGGAUUCCAAAGAUGCUAAAAUGAAAAUGUGAUGCUCUAAACAAGUGAAAAGGGCUAUGUAUAAAUGGAUGAGGCUAGAUGAACAAGUGAAUAAAUGCAAAAAUUGAAAAUUGCCUAACAGAAACUAAAUGACAGCAAGCAUAAAAUGACAGUAGUUUUUAUACACAUUUUCAGGUUUGAAAUCAGAUUCCGGGUACCUAUAGUUAUAUUGCAUAUGCAAAGGUGGAAACAGGUUUGAAUUGAUGUUGAUGGAUGGCCAAUGCAAAGAGAACAAAUGAAUAUAUGUAAAACCUAAAAUGGCAAUUUGGGUAUCAACUAUUAUGCAGAAAAUUAGAAAUUUAAGUUCAUAUGCAGUGCAGAAAAGAAAAAAUGAAUGCAGGGCCUACUCAUUCUGCUUGAUUGAAUGCAGUAUGCAAUUGGAGGUAAUAAAUGGGUGGAGAAAUACGUGUGAUAACAUCAUGAAUUAAUCACAGAUAUGCAUGAAAACAUAGAACACAGAUCCUAAGAAAAAUUAUGCAUGAAACUAAAAUGGGAAUUCAAGAUGCUAUGCAAUGAAGGGAAGUCAAAAUCAUGAAUAUAAUGCAGAUGAAGAACUUAUCAAGUGAGAACCAAUUGCAAAGAAUCUAACAAUCGCAAUUAAAGAGAUAUACUCAACUUAAAAUCAGUUAACAGAAAGAAAUUGCAAGAAACAGACAAAGCGCGCAAAACCAAAAAUUAGACUCUUGAACUAUUUGAUUAAUUGAGUUAAGACCUUGCUCAAUAAGACUUCUUGGAAAACAAGACCCACUUUGGAGUUCUUCAAAUGAAGAGACAAAAGUGCAGCAUUCAAUCCUCCAAACAAUCCAACAGACUUCAUUUUAAAUUCAUAGCGAAGAUUGAAAGCAAAGAACAUAGCAAUAGAAAAAAUUAAUUGAAACAAGAUUAACAAUUUCUGUAAAGUAAAACACAUAUGCACAAACACAAGACACUUAAGACAGGUUUACACUAGAGAACAGACAAUCAUAGAAAGGAUAUAAAAGAAAGUGAAGAUUGAAGCUAUGAAAGGGGUUGCUCUUUGUUCCUUAUAUAAGGGAAGAAGAAGAAAACAAACUAAGACCUAACCUAACUCUGAUUUGCAGAAAUGCCAACGUAGUUUCCAAAUGUGUUCCUCUCGAACCAGCGUUCUUCAAUUGGGCUUCUGCUUGGUCCCAGUUUGGUCUUGCUUCAAACGUCGCAGGCCCUUAAGGAAGCUUCACAUGCACGCACUAGUUCAGCUCGUGUGCCUUCACCUCUGGUUCAGCAGCUAUGUCACCCUUCAAAAGGGAAAUUUUGAUUCAAUUAGUCCGUGCCUUCUCCCCUUCCAAAACUGUGCUCGUUGGGCUUCACAACUCGGUCAAAACCUCUUUGAUUAGGGAGAGUUACUCCCUCCACCACCACACACGGUUUCCGCACCUCCCAUGUAUAUCAACAUCCGUUGAAGGAAAAAUGGAUCUCAACAUCCGUUUAUGAAUGGAGGGUGCAGCAGGAAAAUUAAAGAUACUCCACCAACUCUAACUCCUAGAAAUACCACCAAUUCGAUCCAAAAUCCCUCAUCAGCCUCAUAUGCAUCCUCCGUAGCCGAUCCAAAUGCCUUUCGUCAACUUCAAUGCUACCGCUGCCAAAUCAAACCCCACACACAAAAUACAAAUCACAAUCUAAUCAAUGGAACGAGCAAAGUUAUUAAAGCAAACAGAAAACAGAAAACUUUGUAAAAGAAUUGUGCAUACCUUGCCAGUCUCAACUUCAUCAGGAACCUUGUAGCAAUCAGCACUAACCUCUGACAACCACUAACAAGGGAAAAGGGUCUCCUCCUCAAAUUCAUGAAAUCCUCCUCAAUCUCUUUCUUCAUCAGCGUCAAAGAAAACUUCAAUGGUCACUCCUCUUUCUCUUGCGACCCUCUUAAUUUCGGCGACUUUCCCGCGUCAGGGACAUUCCUCAACGGCAAAAACGACGUCCCGACCUCGGCCUUCCUCUAGUCAAUCCUGACAGUCAUGGGAGCGAUUAGGUUUUGGGUUUGCUCUGGUUUCUUCUUAUAGGUCUCGCGAGUCACAGCAACGACAUUGGGUUUUUAGGGUUCUGUUAUGGGUUUGAUUUGGGAUUCUUGGGCUGGUUUUUCUGAGUGUAGGGUUGGUGAAGGUUUCACAAUGGAGGUUUUUGGUGAAGAAGAUGAUCUCGUCGCUGUAGAUGGUGCGACAACGAGGCAAAGUGGUUCUCGUGGUACAACCUGGUGCGAGUAGCUCAUGGAGAGGAGCUGGUGUGUUAAUGGAGGAGGCGGCUCGCUAAGGACUAGUGGAUUGGAUGGUGGCAACGCUAGGGUUUGGCAGCGUCAAUGGAUGAUUUGCGAUUCUGAUGGUGGUGGCCAUGGAGGCUCGAGGUUGACGGCGAGGUUAAUGGUGAUGGAGAUAGGGUUUGGCGAGAGCAAGGUUGGUGGCAGCGGCAGCAAGGUUGGUGGUGAUGGAAUUAUGAUUUCUGCGUAGAAGGAAAAGUUGACGUAGUAGGUGAGGGGUGUAGAGAGAUUUACAAUUUUAAAAAAGAUAAAUAAAAUUAAAUUAUGAUAGGUUAUUUUUGGAAUAAAAAAAUCGUGUAGAGGUAUAGAUAGUACUUGGGGUGGUAGAGGGAGCAUCUCCCUUGAUUAUGCCAAGUCAGCCUUUUUUUACUAGGAGCAAUUCUGCAAUACUCAAAAGUUUGCACAAGGAUUGAAGAUCAAAUUUUCCAAAAAGCCCACUUAAGAAAAAACAAGUUAACUCCAUAUUUUUUAUUUAAACUUUUUAAGGAAAGAGGAGACAUUUUAUUUCUAGGCACAAUUAUUAUGUAAAAACAAGAUUGUGACAACCAAAUUUGCAAAACUCUAUUUUUUUAUAAAAAAAAAAACAAAAUAAAAUUUAAUCUCAUUCUAAGAAAUUACUAAUUAAAAGAAUUUUUAAAAAAAAAUAUGAAAAAAAAAUGCUUAAUACCUAUUUUGAUCCUUAUUUUUGUCAAUUUUAUUCAAAGUGACCAUCAAUUUUUUUUCGACAUUCAAAGUGGUCCUAACUUUUGUAAUUUUUAUUCAAUUUGGUCAUUUUUCCUGACGAUGUUUAAAUACUUAACGACACAGUGUCAAAGUCAGCAAUCAGUGAAUGACGUGACCCAUUUUAUCUGACGUGGUUGUCCACCUCAUUAUCUUCAUCUUGGCCAUGACCUUCUCUUUUAUUGCACCACUACCGCAAGGCAUAAUAGUUCACCACCAUAAACUCGAGUUCAUGUGUAUCGUGAAAACCAAUCCAUGGCCAGACCAUUUUCAUCGUGUCUUCAUCUUCCUCGAAACCCCAAAUCACAGCCACUGUGAAUCACAAAACUACGAACACGAAAUCUUCCAUCGCCACCAAUAAACCACAGUGACACAUCAAACCUCCACGUUCAAACCCUAAAACCCCAAUACAACAAACAUAUUAUAAUCAAUUUGCCACUAUGAGAUUCUUUCUUGUACGUAAGUAGGUAUUUAUCCCAUUUCUUUCCAACAAAUAACCUCUUAUAAACCCUACCUUUGAAGAAAAUAAAUUGGGAAUGUCAAUUUCAAUGUUACUGCUCAAAUAUGUUUACAAUCAAAUAACAUAAACAACACCUUUUUGUUUUCUAACAAUGAUCCAGAGCUUAAAUCCCAAGGAAAACUUUCAGAGACUAUAAUGAAAGUAAUUGCUUUGAAGAAUAUGGAAAUGAUUGAAUGCAAGGUGGUUCAACAAACUUGAUAAUAGGAAUUGUUCGCAACCAACUAAUGUUAAUGAAAUUUAGUUGGUUCAACAGAGUUUUAGAAUUUUAAUGUUAUAUAUCUUCCACUAUUUAUCAUUAUUUUGUUUUUUUUCCUCAAUCAAUCUCUCAUUUCCCAAAAAAAAUUCUCAAUUAUGGAAUAUUCAAUUACGACAUACUAACAUUAUAAAAAUUUAUUUCGAAUUUGAUUUGAAACAACCAAGACACAUAAAACUCCAUGGUUGUUGUUGCUUGAUGUGAUACAUUUUGACUUGAAUAUGAUCCUUAUUUUGUUCAUGAACUAGAUCAUCCUUGAUAUUUAAAAUCACAUGAAAUCUAAUUUAGUAAGUUUUUAUAAGCGUAUUACCAAUAAAUAUGAUUUUCUUUUACAUUUCAAAGUACAUUACAAAUCCAUAUCAAACAAUUUGUUGCAUAAAGUAGGUGAAUUGAAUCAUUGAUAGAAAUAGUAAAACUUGUUUCUCCACACCAAGAGGGGGUUGAAUUGGUGUUUAAUAAAAACAUGCACUUUUAAAAUCUUUUUGAAGAAAUUGAAUGAUCUUAAUAUUUUUCUUGCACAGUAAGCAAAGAAUGUAGGCAAUCAAAAUGUAAAGAGAUAAGAAUAGAAAAUCAAACACAGUUUUUAUACUAGUUUGACCUCAAUGCCUACAUCCAGUUACAAUCCCAAUUAACCUUAGAUUGAAGAGUAGUUCACUAUAAUGAUCAGAAUAUUAUAUCCAAGGCUUUACAAAGCACACUCAAAUAUAAACACCUCCUAAACUCUCAAUCAAAUAUAGAAACAGAAUACACCUACAUACAUAUAGCACCCUACAAUCUUGUUGUAGAAACCCUUUGAGAAUUCCCUCUUAAAGUCAAAAGCUCCUCAUUCUUCUUCCUGACGCAUACGUCGAGGGAAACAACAAAUCAAAGAUUGUAAAAUCUUCUUUUGAUCAAAACCAGAUCACCUUCAGUACCAAAUUGAGUAAUUGAACAAGUUAAACCCCCUAUUGUAAAUUGUUGUUUGAUACCAUAAUUGAAUGAGAGAAUUCUAAAUUGAACAAUUGGCUCUAUUGGUAUCAAUUAAAGAUUGAUUUACAUGCCUAAAGAAAAGGGUAGAGCUACCAUUCUACAUUAACAAGAGAAUUAUACAUUAAAUAUCAAUUAGUGAGAGAAUUCUACAUUUAGUUUUUGUUUUCUAUCAUGGCGUUGGAUGAUAGAAGAAGGUGUUAGGCACUGGUUAAAAUUUCAAGGUCUAAAGCAUUUUUACUCUAGAUGCAUGAUAGUGUUGUCGAGCAUCACUUUGAUAGUGGCUCCCUAGCUUGGUUCUCAUUGAGCGAGUUUAUGCUUUGUUAGGCGAAACCAAAGUAAGUGAGCUCACUGGCUUUGUGUCGCUAGCAGCCACCUUGUGUUGUUGGAUGUCAUUUUUGAUAACUCAUUAGAGGUGUUCUAGUGGAUUUUGUUGUUAUGCACUAAGUUUUCUUGUUGAUAACCGUUGUGCACCAUUUGUUCUACAUGUUUGAACGAUUGUGUUCUCUAAUGUUUAUGAUAACAUUUAUGAUAUUAAUAUUGUAUUUGGUUUGUAAAGUAAAACAAAGGUAUGAGUGGUUGUCUUAUAGGGUAUAACCAGGGAGGAAAUCUCGUUGAAGAUGUUUCUUUAGUAUACACAUUGAUGUGGGAAUCCAGGGUUGGAGGUUAUCUUGACACUCCAAUAACUAUUCAAACUCAAGUAUAUUAAAAUGAGGUAUGUGGUGAAAGUUAUAGGAAGUUCUAGUAUAAAGAAAAAUUUAGUUCUUAUGACAAAGGAUUAACCUUGUGAAGAGUAAAGUGACAUAUCCUCUACAAUGUAGUAGAUGCCACUAUUAAUGCAAAAUCUCUCGAGAUUCUAUGUCAUUGUUUGUAUUCGGAUGAUUGAGUCUAGAAAAGUUAGGUUGUAUGUUUGCUUCUAUAUGGAAAUUGAAUGACUCUUUAGAUUUAUGUUAUCUCUUUUUUAGUUAGAUUACUUUGUUUUGUGUUUUGUGAUUGUUGUGUUAUUUUCUUCUCUUUGCAAUAAUUACCUUAUUAGCAUGAGCAAAUAGAAGAUACAGUUGUAGAGACACCUCUUGUGAAUGAGGAGCCAAUUGUCAAUGUCAUGCGUGAUAUUAAAUCAUGUCAGACAUAGUCUUGUAAUAAAAUUAUAGUAAAGUAGUUUGAAAAUGAGAUAUUAUUUAGUCCUAUCUUAUAAGAGUGUAUACAUUGGAUUAUCUAUUUUUUCUAAUAUUCAUAAUGAAAUGUUUUUUAUUUUAAUAGUAUUAUGCUAUUAAAAUAGGAUAUUAUAAGAACAAAUAAUCAUUUUUAUAUAAAUUAAAAAAACAAACAUAUAUAUAUAUAUAUAUAUAUAUAUAUAUAAAUAAAAGAGGUAUGUUUGCUAGAAAAAAUAAAAUAUAACAAAGUUUUAUUUAAUUUUUAUAUGAUUUUAGUGGUAUAUAAAAGACAUUUAUGUAGAACAUUGUAAGUUGUUAUUCAAUUUAAGGGAAUGAUUCUUUUGAAUGUAAUUUCAAGUACAAUUGUUUCUUUGUUACUUCGUCAAGGAAAGACAACAAAUUCUAUAAUUUGCAUACCAUUUUUAAUAAUUAAGGAAUCAACUUGCAACAUAGUUCAAUUUGUGUCAAACUUUUAAUUGAAACAAAAUUAAUUAUGAGAUCAAAUAUCAAUGAAGAAUAGUUCAUGUUUUGAAGCAUUUGAGAGAGAUAUUUAAAAAAUAAAAAUGACAAAAAUAGUUAAAAAUAUUUCAUGGUAAAAUUAUUGUUUUGGGUGGUGAUUUUAGACAAAUUUUACCUAUUGUAAGAAAAGGAUUGAUGCUGUGAAGUCAACAAUAAACUAUUAUGUUUUAUGUAAAAAUUAUACAAAUAUUAAUUACAAGAUAUUUAUCCCAUUAUAUUUGAUUCCUUUUUAUUUAGUACUGUUCUUCAAAUUAAAAAAGUUAAUUUUCAAUAUUAUUUUGUCAUGAAAAUCAGUAAGAGUCAUGGUGAAUCGUUCUCAAAAGUUGGAUUGUAUCUUUCAUGUCUAGUUUUUUAAACAUGAUUAACUAUUGCUUAUAGAGUAAAACACACAGAAAGGAUUAAAAAUACUUAUCUUGAAUGAUGAUAAAAAUAUAACUAAUACAAUUAAAAACAUAGUAUACGAUGAAAUAUUAAAAAACAAUAGAACAAAAACUUAUAACAUUUGAUAAUACAUAUUAUGUAUAAUUGUUUGUCUGUUUAUAAUAUAUUUAUUUAUUAGAUAUCUUUUCUCAAACAUAAGUUCAUAAUUGAUUAUUAAAUAAAAUGCAGUUGGAUGAACUUUAAGAAUUCUUACAAGUUAUUUAUAAUUGUUUUCAGUCUCAAACAGUAACUUUAAAUCAAAUAUUUAAAACUCAUCACUCUUUACAAUAAAUUUUAUAUAUGAUUUUGUAUAUUAUUUCUAACUAUGAAAUUUUAUUGGAAAGUGUAACACUCCAGUUUUUUUUUUCUUGCUAAAAUCUAUAAUUAAUAAAAAAUUACAUAAUUUAGAAUAAAAAAUUAUUUCUAUUUUAUUGAAAAUCUCUAUUUCAAUAUUGAAAAAGUAAAAUAUAAAAUUAAAACAUUAUCUGAAACUUUCUUGAUAUUGACCUUUCAUAAUGUUGUGUAUCUUCUUCAACACAUAUACUAUUAUCUUCUUCCAUAUAAAAGCAAGUAUACUAGAAAACGACCAAAUAAAUCAGAUAAAUAAACAUAAAACAAAACAUUUUCUUUAAUCUUUUUCUUUAAUAAGCCAAUAAAACAAAUAUAAAAUAAAUAAAUUGUUUUCACACAAUGCCCUUGAGUAACCUUCCUAACUAAAAGUGAAACAAUCGUCCAACAGACAACCUUUUCAAUUAGAAAAGAAACAUGUCACCUUCACACGACAACAUUCCCUACCAAAAGUGGAACACAUCACCCUCACACGACAACCUCUCGAGCCAAAAGUGGAACACAUCACCCUCACACAACAAUCUCCUUAAUCAAAAGUGGAACACACCACCCUUCUUGACCAAAAAUGGAACACAUCGUCCUCACUUGGUAUCCUCCCUAUCCAAAAGAAGAACACAUCGUCGUCACAUACAUUCACAAAUAACAAAAACAUACUCACAUUCACAAAUCCCAUCCCUUGAACCCAUGCACCAAAAUACUCAUGCAAUUUCAUAAAGUCUUAUUUUCAUAACUUUAAACUAAAGUUUUCAAAACAGGCCACCUUGCCCGACCUAGUCCUGCCCACCAUGAGUUGAUCACUUAGUGAACAAACUCAACCUAACUCAACUCAUUUAUUAACAAGCUAAAAAAAUUUGAACUCGGUUCGAUCCAUCACAGGUUGAUGGGUAAACGGGUUGGCUCACUAGCUCACUUAAUUACAAUUUUUUUAAAUAAAAAAAUUACAAACUUUCUAUAAUUCAAAUCUACACAAAUUUCAGCUCCCAACAUGGGAUGUUUAAUUAGUUUGAAAAUAGAGAACUUAAAUAAUUUUUUCAAGCAAAACAAAAUAAUAAAUAUUUUUUUAUAAAAUUAAAAUUAAAUUUUAAUAAAAUAAAAUACGGUAGGUGGAUUGGUAGACCAACCCAGCCCACCACGGGUUCAACCCGAAUGAGCCGGAUUGAAACCUGACCCGCAUAAAAAAAAUACAACUUUUUCAAAUUCAACCCAACCUGAACCUAUGAUGGACUGGAUUUGGCUCACAGGUUGUAAUCCAUUUUGACAGCUCUACUUUAAACAAUAAAUUAAAAAUACUUAUCAAACUUUGAAACAUCAUUAUUCUUAAAUUCACAACACAUACAUACAAGAAAACAAGUUGGUAAACUCCUAUGUUCACUUAUUCCUUCUUCCUCAUCAAAACUCACAUUUAUCCUUCUUCCUAAUUUGAAUUUAUUCUUAUUUUUCCUUCAAAUAUACUUAGUCGCAUUUUUUUUAAUUCAAGUGUAAAAUUAAAUCACUCUUUUAGUAUAUAUAUAUAUAUAUAUAUAUAUAUAUAUAUAUAUAUAUAUAUUUAUUUAUUUAUGAAUUUCACUCUUACUCUUAAAAUCUUAGAUACUCUUAAAAGAUUUUAUGAUCUUUCUAAUAACUAUAAUAUAUUUAGAAAAUUUCUUACAUAUAAGAAAAAUCACAUACAUAAUAAAUUUUAUAUUUUUUAAUGAUUUUUUUAAGAAAUAACCUUAUAUUAUAAUAAGUAGUAUAUAUAUCUUUUCAUAAACUUACAUUACAAUAAUCACUUUAUAAAUCCUUUAAAUAAAAUAAAUCUUUUAAAUAAUUAGUAAACCAUAAUUUUUUAAAUAAAAGAAUAAUAAAUCACUUUAAAUAUAUAUUUUCUAAUUAUUAUACUUUUUCAGAAUCUUACGAAAAGUUAAAUGAUUUAUUAUGAAAAAAAAUUCAAUUACUUAUUGCAACUAAUAUAUUAUAAUUUUGUUUACAUAAAUCAUUUGUUUUUCAAUCACUUCUAAACUGUUUCAAGUCAUUUUAAAAAAUUAAUAAUAAUUUAGAUUACUAUAUAUGUAAUUUUUUAAUAAAUAUUUUUUAUUUAUUUUAAUUAAAAUAUAAUAUAUAAGAUUAAUAAUUUUGUAUAUAUAAAAUUUAUUUUUAUUAUUAUAUAUUGAGUUCUAUUAUAAAAUAAUAAUCAUGCAUUAAAUGGAAUAAAUACCAGUGAUUCUACAUUCUAUUAAUGUGGCUAUAGAUAGAAUGUUUGCCACUUCAAAAUGAGUGAGAAUUAUGAGGCUUGUAGCAAUUAAUGCAAAUCAAGUUGCACCUGUAAUAAACAAAGAGGAACAUAUUAAUAUUGUAAUUCUCUUACUUGAUUAACCUACAAAUGUUUAAUAUUUUAAAAUAAAAAUAUUCUUUUAGAAGUAUUAAAUAGAUGUAGACAUAAAAAUAUGGUGUCUGUUUAUCAUCUAUUACUAAUUCUAUAGACAUAGAUCUAUCCGAGUUCUAUACAUUGACGAUGUUACAACAUUCAGAACCUCACACUUGUACGUUUUAUCUAUCUAUGCAUCUAUUCAUUUGGCCACACAAUCAGACCCUUCGCCUCCACCACAAGAGUCCCUCUCUACAUUCAAAAACAUCAGAAUCAAAACAAACCCAACCAGUCCUAACAAUAAAAUCCCCAAAUAACAAUCCCAAACUGUGGACCCACCUCCCCUUAGGUAAGAAACUAAAAAAUAACAAUGCAACAUUAAUCAACGUUAAGUAAGAUGUUUCUAUCCCCUUCAACCCCUCUUUGUCCAGAUUCUGUAACCAUUUGGUGUUUUUCUUGUAGAAAUGACCGCUUAAGGAAUUAGUAGCUACGAAUCUUUUGCAGCCGUUUUAACCAAGAUUUCCCACAGCCGUUCGAUCUCUCCUACGACAUCAUCGGACGGUAACCGAAACCUGCAGCAAGGACACGUGUUCCUCUUCCCAAGCCACGGUAAGAUACACACCCAAUGAAACAAGUGCUGACAUGGCAACUCGCACACGUCCCUCCCUAUUGUCAUCUCCUCUCUGCAUAUCGCACACUCUAUCCCACCCGCCCUCACCUCCACCGAUGGCAGCGCCACCACCGCCGUAGCCGACGCAGCCACCUCCCCCGAUUCCUUUACUCCGCCGCAUUCCAGUGCACCGACGAGUCUCCAGCACCGCGUCACGGUCUCAACGAAGGGAAUCAGCACCGUCGAGCCCGUGCAUGACCCAAAGGGUGCAAAGGAAAGAGCCAACAAUGAAUCGGAGAAGAUGGUGCUAAGGUUGACCCUCCAUUGGGAAAAGGGUGCCUCGAGGGCAUGUGAAUUGUGGUUGUGCGUUUCGCAAAGGAGGAGGAGGAGAAGUGCAGCGUCGAGGUCGCGCUGCCUCGUGGCAGUGGACAGCGGCGGGGAGGUGGCAGUGAGGAGGUGGAGAAAGGAGAGGAGGUGGCGGGCGAUGAGAAGCGUCUUCUGGGGGAGAGAGAGGUUGUGGAGGUGGUGGAGGGUUAGAGAGAAGAGCGUCGGGGAAGAAAGGAGAAAGGCGAGACGGCGAUGGUGAUGAAGGGUAGUGGAUAGAAUGGAGUGGGUGAGAUCUGAGAAUUGGGAAGGGGUGAGGGUGGAGAGUGCAGCCAUGAUGACAGAUGUUGAUGUUUCUUCCAUUGUGGGAUCAUGUGCUUUUGGACUUUGCUUUUCAGACCAUGGAGGAGGAAGAAGAAUGUGGCUUUUUAUGUACGUGGGUGAGUGUGUUGGGGAAUUACCGAUUAUUACUAAAAUAAAUAGACAACUAGGUCUUGCUCUCUUUGAUUGUAUUGACCAAUGUGUCCUCCGUUUCUGUUUCCUUUUCUAACUUCUACCGUCAUAAGACUAUUAUCUUCUAGGUCGGUUGUCCGUUAUAUUUUUAGGAAGAUAUGAUUGAAAACGUCACUACCUGACAUUUUACUUCAUUAUUCCGUAUGUAUAAUUCUGACAACCAUUUCUCUAACUUCACAGGAGGUAAUAAUGAUUCUAGUUCUAAAUAGUUUAAUUGUAUUAUUGUCAGGUUGUAUAUUAAAUUAAAGUAAUAAAUACACGGAUCAGUAGAAUGAGAUUUUCAUUAGUAACAAUACAUACCAUCUAAUACUCAUUGACUUAGUCUGAACAUUAAUAAUCUGUUGCAUAUCGCAAUCAUAAUCAAAUACGUAGUGAACGGAGAGAAAAAUAUUAACAAUCCUGACCUCUAAAUUCUAGAUUAAUGUAAAAUAUGCAAUUAAAAACAAUUUAAACACAUUAAAAUAUGUUCAAUAGUUCAAAAAAAAAAAUUUCUAAACUUCAAAUCGAUCAGUCCUGAAUGCAGGCAGUAACAGGUGGAUUUUAUUUAGUUAUUGAAGGCAGUAGAAAAUCCACGACAAUUAUGUUGAAUGUGGAAGAAAUAAAGAUGGGUUAUGGUGACCUAAAGGUGGCAACGUUUGUCCACACGUUAAAUGUCCAGAGCAAGCACGUUUCUUACUCUAGUGCUUUUCAUUUUCUCUUUCAGAUGUUUUCUCCCGACCGAUUUUGCUAGGGUCAACAAAACAAGCAGAAGAGGAAGUUCCUUCAUGGCCCAUGCUCAUGGCUCGUUCCUCUUGUCACUAAACCCAAUUUACAAAAGGAAUACAAUAAUGCAUUUCCGCUGUAGAAGAAUUAGGCAUCUUCAUUAUCUCAUCCUUUGUUUACAUGCACACAUCUAAUUUCUCAAAGCUCCAGUGUAUCUACCUAAUAUCGUGGAAACCUUGCAAAUUGCUUCCGUGGCGCGAAUGUGGAAGCGAUAAAGUAUUAUUUACUGGGAUUGUGGGCAUUCUGGAGAAAAUAUUAAAAUAUAAUGCCUCGUAGCCAUUAGCCCAUUGCCUAUUAUUGAGAAAGAGGGCACAAUGUUGGCAACUCAGGCUAUGAUUAAAGGAAAGGAUAUUUAACAGAUCUUGGAUGCUUUAAUAGCAAGAAAAGAGACACAAAUGGGGUAAAGAUGUGAAAAGGAACAGGUGGAUGCAAGACAAGCCCCACAAAAUAAGACUAUACAAAUUAAACAAUUAUGCUUCCUGUGUUAAAUUCCAACUGGCAGCGUCAAAAUCAAUGUUGAAUGAAUUCCCCCAAUUCUCAUCUCACCAAUUUGGCGAUCUCCCAAAAAUUUUCAAGCCAUUUUCAACAGAAAGUGUCCCUUUGUUGUAGCUUUACAAAAAAUAUUAGGUCCCCAUCUCCGUGUCUACUUAAAUAUCAUAAAUUUUAAAGAGAAUAAAAAGUAUUCGUCCUGAAAUUUGGGAUCCUAACUCGCAUAACAUGACCACAAUGUGGGUUUCUUUUACAAUAAAUCAAACUACUGAUACAAGGGAAACUGGUAAGCUCCCCAAGACCCAUUUCAGUAAUGUUUCCUUUAGCCUAAACAAAGUAUUUAACGGCAAGGAAGCUCCUUUGCCCAAAAAAUAAUCUCUGGAACUAGGACAAAAGUUAUUGCUGCCAGCCAGACUAACUUUUUUGCUUAAUCACAGAAUUGUGUCAUAAGUCACAACCUAUCCGGACAAAUCAGAGUAGCUUUAUCAAACAAAGCAGUUUUAACUGAACCCACGAAGCAAGCAAGGGUAGAAUCUCAGUUCCUAAAAGAAAAGUGUUCAAGCACUAUCUUGGGUGAAAAAUUAUUAAUCAGCAAGGAUAAAUUUAGUAUUCAGUAAGGCUUGAUAAAAAGGGGAGUUGAUUCCAAACCUAGUGCACCCAAUAAAGCUUGAUAUUUUGGCUGAGUAUUUUGAUAAAUGUGUUAUUUAGUUUCAGCAUCUCAGAAGUUGAGUGACCGCUUCUGGCUAUACUAGAGGUGAAUGACCAUAUUUCAGUACACGCUACCAAAUGCAGUUAUUAACUGAACAUUCCCGUAGUCUAACUCUUCCUGUAAAACAUAUCCUUCUCCCCUCAUCAAACCAAGCAACCUUCCAGCAACGCCUAAAUUUCAUCAGAUCUACCAUUAGACACAUCCUUGGCAAUGAAACUCGGUAACCCUCCACUCGUUUCAAUCCAGCUACUUCCACGGACCUUCUGUAACCCAAUUUCUUUCAUUCUUUCCCUAACCUCCCUAGCUUGUUCCCAUUUCCCAGCAUUUGAUAAUAAAUUGGCCAUAAUCAUGUAAUUCCCAGUAUUUUCAGGCUCGAUCUCAAACAAAUGAUCACAAGCAAACUUUCCCACUUCAACGUCACCAUAAACCGAAGCCCCGUGCAGCAGAGCACCCCAAACUUUAGCACUUGGUUUAAUUGGCAUUUCAGAAAUGAAUAGUGUAGCUUCUGAGAGUUUUCCAGCUCGACUAAGAACACCCACCAUGCAAGCAUAGUGCUCUACCAAGGGUUGAAAGCCACACUGUGAAGGCAUCGAAUUAAAGAUAUCCCAUGCUUCAUCGACCAAUCCGGAAUGAGCACAAGCUGUCAAUACAGAAGUUAAAGUCACCGGAUCAGGUUGAAUUCCUUUAUCUAGCAUUUGAGUAUACAGACCAAGUGCCAAACCAGCAUCACCAUGAGCAGCGUAAGCGGAUAUAAUGGAUGUCCAAAUAACCAAACUCUUAUUCGGUGAAAGAUCAAAAACCCUUUUUGCCCCAUGAAUAUACCCGAGCUUCGCAUAAGCAUCAAUAAUGGAGGUUGCCACAUAUACAUUUUGCUCAUAACCUCUCCUUAUAGCAUAACCAUGAACCUCUUUUCCUCCUCGCAGGUUUGAGAAAUACGAAAAUGAAGGAAGAACACUAGCAAGUGUAACAGCAUUGGGACACAAACCAGAACCCUGUAAAUCCCGUAACAAAUCAAAUAACCCUUCAAACUCUUCAUUCUGAACCAUACCAGAAAUCACAGCAUUCGACAUAUUCAAUCCAGGGUUCUCCACCCCUCGAAAAAUAUUCAUGGCUUCUUCCACAAACCCGUAAUCCAUGUACCCUGAAAUAAUUGCCCCAUAAGUAACCUCAUCCUUCUCCCGCAUUUCUUCAAACAACUGCCGCGCAUACUCCAAACGACCACACUUGGCAUACAUAGCGACCACAGCAUUUGAAAGCGAAAUAUCCAUCUCAAUUCCAUUCUCCUUCACGAAACGGUGUACCUCAAUUCCAAACGCAAGGUCCAUGGACUGUCCACAUGCCUGCAUCAUGCUCAUCGCUGUAACCACAUUGGGUGCGACCCCGGAAGCAGUCAACAUCUCCAUGUACAACCUCUUACACUCGUCGUAAUACCUCCUCUGAGAAUACCCACCAAUCAUCGCGUUCCACGUCACGGUGUCUCUGUUGGACAUUCCGUCGAACACCUUCCGCGCAAGCCAAACCUCGUCGCACCUGCAGUAACACGUUAUCAACGCGUUGAGAAUAAAAAUAUCCGAGUCAAACCUGCGACGAAGAACGAAACAGUGAACCUCUUUCGCCAAAUUGGGGCUACAAAACGACGACGGAAUAGUCUUCAAAAUGCAGGAUAUGGUGAAGUUAUCGGGGGAGGCGUUGGCGUUUGAGGAGGAGGUGAACGACACAAAUAGAUUAAGCGCGUCGCGGAACAUUGCGUUGAAGGAGUAGCCAAGGAGCAUGGCGUUCCAUGUGAAGGUGUUUCUGCGGGGAGUCGCGUCGAACACCUUGCGCGCUUCGCGCGCGCGGUCGGACUUGGAGUAUAAGAGGAUGAGUUUCGAGGCGAGGAAGUUAUCGGGUUUGACGGAGAAAAGGAUGAGGCGAGCGUGGAGCUGCCUCCCCUGGCGGAUGAGGCGGUGGUCAGAGCAGUACUGAAUGGCGGAGCCAUAGGCGGAGAAGUCGACGCCGGGGCAGGAGAGCCGUUGUCUGAGGUUGCCGAUUUGAAAUUGAAGGGUCGGAGCCAACAGGCUACGGAUCCCCAUUCAUUGAUUCAUCGAGGCACUUGCAAAAUUCGAAUUUUUCACCCGUUGCUCCGUAUUUAACAACAAUAAAGCAUGGGCUGUGUCUUAGGCCCAAUUCAUUUUGGGCGUUGAUCCCUCCACCUCCACCUUCUUGAAUCUCCACCUCCCCAUCCCAUUUUUAUCCCUUGUUUUUUUAAUUUAUAUUUUUAUUUUUUAUUUAUAUUCCUAUUAUACUCUUAUGUAAAAUUUAAUUUAUAAAAUAAUUUUAAUUCUAAUCUCCUAUAGUAAAAAAACCUAAUUUUUUUCUCGCAUUCUGUUCUCUCUAGUUUCUGUUUGAUUGUUGGUUUUUCGAAUUCUUUUUGUGCUCUCUUUUCUUUCACUCUAAGAAUUGUUGGUGUGAGAAUCUUUGACAUGGUGGAAGGAAAGUUGCAACUGUACAGAAUUCUUCUUCUCUUCUUCGUAAUCGUGUUUGUAGCGUGGUGGUUGAAGACGUAACAGUGGGAAGAGAUACGUGAGCACUAUGUAAUUCACUGUUAAAAAUAGCCUAAACCCUUAAACGAAUCUGGUUAUCUGUCGUCGGAUGUCAACAUCCGUUUACGUAUAAUAUAUAUAUUAUAUUUAUAUUAUAUAUUAUGUUUACGUGUGUGUGUGUAUAUAUAUAUAUAUAUAUAUAUAUAUAUAUAUAUAUAUAUAUUAAUGUCAUCUAUAAACUUGAUUAAAGUUCUAGAUUAGUUUAAAAUUGUUUUUCGGUGCCAAAGGCGGGUCCUACAAUAAUACUUCAAUUUUCUUCAUUUUACUAUGGGAAAGAAUCACCCAGACAAUACUGGUUACUGGAAUUGUUUCCUGCACCAAAUAAAUGUUCUUCGUAAACCAAUAAAACAAGUUUUAUACUUUUACCAAGCUACCAAAAAUAUUGAUCACCAGUACACUGCCAAACUUCAACUCCACACUCACUUUGGAGAACUGUAGCAAUGUAAUUCAUACACGAAAAGGUGCAUGUUCUCCUUCAGAUUCAGAAACAGAUUCAAGUUCUCAAGUCUGUAUUAUACCUACUUUAAAACAACUAAAAUGCUCAAUACACAGUGACUGAACUACCAGAUUAAUACGUACCAGGGCAUGCAUCAAAAGUAAAAGAAUCCUAAUCCUCGUCUAAUCAAACAGCAGGGACAAAUCAAGAAUACAAAAAGAACACAUCGGCCAUGAACAUGUAAAGCAAAAUGCAAUCUCAUGAUGUAAAAUGGUAAGAACCAGUGCUGAAAACAUAAAAGAAUCUCGCAAGAAAAGAAAUAUACAGAGCAGACAAAAGAUUUGUUUAUAUAUGCCUGGAAACUAAAAUAAUUAUAAACAGCAAGAAAAGAUUCUACUAUGACUCAUGUCAAAACAGACCAAAGUAUAAUCAUUACUACAAAGUACUAUCAAUUAGACGUCAAGCGUCUACCACGAACAUGCCUCUGUCCUCUCCUAGUUGGAGAAUAUUCGUCGAUUCCAUCAUUAGCAUCCUGAAGCAGUUCCACCGCCACCUGAUGUGCAACAGUACCCUCGGUCACAUGACGACAUGAUAUCAACGACUG